rnacentral:lncRNA from 1 species
UCGGCUAAUGAAAAUAGAUUACAAAGCAAAAGCCCCUAAAACAACCAACACCUAACAAAUCAAAGUAAACACUGUGCUAGCAGACAAGGUAAAGCAUUGCUCUAAGCCUGAACUCCAAGUUAAAAUCCUGCUUUGCCUAUUGCAUCCGCAACGAAGUUCUGUUCUCUCUUGAUGUGAGGGAAGAAUGUGACUUCAGUAAGGUGAGGAAGCUGUUUAAUAUCUUGAACCAGGGUAAAGAUCUUCCAAAGGGGCAGCAGAGAUAAACCAGUCAAUUAAAACUUUACAAUUACCUUCCACAGUAAUAUGAGAUAAACCAUGAAUCCAGGCUGCUACAACCUAGAAGGCCAGCGCGGAUGGUUAAGGCUUCAGCAGUAGGAGCAUCUGUGUUACCGAUCCUUUGAGGAGGCUAAAAGAGGGGAACCAUUGUUGUUGCAAAAAAUAAAACCGGAUGAGCCAAGGUGGUUUUGGACAGAACCAUCAAAGUUUAGCUUGAUGGCCUGGAGGAGGAUAAAGCCAGCGAAGAAGAGUAGGGGACUGAAUAGGAGUUUCGGAGAUGGAGGGGGUUAGAUAGUAGGUAUUUGGUAAAAAGGGAAGCAGAAAGGUAAAGAAUUUGAGUAGGGGAAGUGUGUUAAGAGCGAAAAAUGAGGUCAUUACAAGCUUUCCAAAUGCAGUGAGAAGUUACAAAAGCAAUGCCUAAUAGAGGUUGGGAAGGGGAAGUAGAGUGAAGAUGCUUAAGGAAGGAAAUGAAGGAAGGGAACUGAAAGAAGUUCAAGGAAGGAAAAGUUUGUGACCAGACCUUAGAAGCAAUGGUGCAAUGCAAGAAAAGAUGGUCUAAUGAUUCUAGAUUUUGGUUACAGAAGGGACAGCUACGAUCAACCGAAGGAUUGGUUAAAUUAUUUUUCUUAGAAGUACUCCAGAAACAAUACUUGGCUCUGAUUAAGAAUUUUUCAGUCAAGCUUCACUUGUAGAAACACUGAUUUCCAAGAGUUGGGUUCUUGGCAUCCCCUCUCGUAACUUUACGACCCUGAUGCAUCUACCUAAGAAAUAGAUGUUUCGGAUUAAAAAAGAUUGUAGAGCAACCCAUCAAUGGGAUCCCUCGAUGACUUGAAGGCAACCAAAAUCCAGAAGACAUUUAUAAACUUAUCAAGAAAACAAAAUCAAUAUCUAUAUUACACCUUGCUACAAUAUCUACAUUUUCUCCUUCUCAAGUUCCAAGUUAUGGCCUUGAUAGGAAUCGAUAUUGGAACAAGUUUGGGUAAAAAAUAGCCACCUAGGUGGAAAAUUUUGCUAUUUCAGUCAUAUAUUUAAUUAAUUAACCAAAACCAUAUCAUCGGCCCCUGCAGUUGCCGCGACUGUCUCUAUUUUCUUCCAUGUCAAUUCCCGCUGCUCUUCCAAUGAUCUGGCCCUGGUUACUUUCUCUAAGUAUUGCUCCUGGCACUCUUUGAACAAUUCUGAGUCCAUUUCCUGGAAUAUCCUUCGCACGUUGGUCGUCAGAUCAUGUAUACCUUGGUUCCAGUGACCUUGCGUGUUCUUCUCUAACGCGUCAAAUAUUACUGGUAAUAUCACGUUCCGGUUCUGAGCUAUUAAAUUUACAACGUGCUCGCUGUUAAACAAGUAUAGAGCUUGUUGGGCAACCUGCCAAGGAACUACAUAUUAGAAACACGUUUCAGAUAGAAUAGAAGUACAACAGCAAUUUUAUUACGCUUUAUAGGUAAGAGGAAAUUCUAUUGCAUGAUGUAAAGGAAGGUGCGUCAGUGCAAUUGAUUCAACAACAGAAUAAGCGGUGGUACAGAAAAACUUUAACUUAUUCACUAGAGAUGUAUCCACUAAAGAUGUAGAACAAUGGAAAGCUAGACGCUGCCAAGUAGUAGUACAGAAAAGCUAACUUAUCCACUAGAGAUGUAUCCAGAAAAGAUGAGAGAACAAUGUCAGCUAGACACUGCCAAGCAGAAAAACCAUGGUUGACCCGCACUCGGUACAUAAAGCUAUUUGGUGGCUAAUCCUGUCCGUGGCCAAGAGCUAUCCUGAUUCAAACAAAAGGUUUACGAGUGCUGACAUGAAAGCAAAAUGACUUCCCAGACAACCUGUCUUCAUUGGUCUAUUCAUUUACCAGCUUUGCACACUGGACUGCAAGAUGGAAGCAAACUUAAAAAGACGGUUUUUCUUUACCAACUUCCCAAUGUAGAUGAAAUUCAAAAUGCCUCUUUUUUCUUUCUCAAUUACUAAGUUGUAACAAACUAGCCAUAUGGAGAGACAACGAAGUCUUAAAGACUACUCAAACAACUUGUAAUGCACUAAUUCCACUUGCUAGUUUCAAGUUUAUCACUUCUUAUCAGACAGUUCCUCAUAUCAGAACGGAUCACCAAAUAGUUCUAAUGUCGUAUACAGCAAGAAAAGAUAACACAAUAACAAUGCUUACACUACUGAAGUCUAUUGUCUAAAAGAGAGGCAUAAAAACAUCAAAACAAAAUUUAAAUAUUUUUUUUACGAAUGAUUAAGCAUAAGCGGUCCGAUCAACUUGAAAUAGAAUACUAGUUAUAGGUAUUGGCUACAUAAGGACUAUGUACAGGUCAUUGGCAGCAGCAGUUUACUAGCAACAUGGUCUUUACUCUUUACAAUAUUCCAUUUACAUGAAUGAUGAAUCCAUUCAUAUCAUGUUAAGCAGUCUUACAGUACCAAUGGAAGGUUGAGAGAUCACCCUCCUAGUUUUGGUAAUAAAUAUACACUAGAUAGGGAGUUCUGCAUUAGAUUAACUUUUGUCACCUUGACAGAUGUACCAAAGCAAUGAUAUGUUUUCAUCAAAAAAUUCAUUUUCAUGUAUUACUGAACAAAACAACUAGGACAUCAACGCAAGCAAAAUCACACGACCUUGUAAAUGCACAAAUAAUCUAACAGUUGUACCAACAAAAACACAUGCAUAUAGCAGUAGCACACUGCUUUUACCUGGAAAUGCGAGCUAGUGAGGCACCGUCCAAUCUGUCUAAACAGCGGCAGCAUACACCUCUGGAACUCCGAAGCAGGAGUAGCCUCCAAAACCUCUUCCAGCUCCGCAAGAAACAGAACCUCCUUCUGACAAUUCGUGACCGGCCAAUACUUCAACAGCCCUCUGAUCACCAAUUCCGCAAGAUGAUAAUCCUUAUCAACAAACUGUAUAAUACAAUACGCCAACUGGUGAUGAUAUGCCCAAAACCCCUUAGGCUUAUGCAGCGGAAUAAGCGCCCUGAUCAGGAGCAACUUAUGCUCCUCUUUCAUCGGCAACGCGAAACCAUUGAUAAUACUCCCCAGAAUCUCCAACAACUCCCCAAUCCCGCAAUGCCUCUGCGUCUCGAAAAUGAACCUAUAGAACACAUUGUUCAUGGCCUUCCUAAUAAACGGCCUAUGCACCAUGAACUUGCCAUAUAUCCUAUGCAGAAGCGUUUUCAGGUACUCCCUCUCCCUCGGGUCUUCGGAGUCGAAAAGCUCGAUGAGUCUUAACACAAAGAUGUGAUCAAUGAAGCGCUUGGCGAACUUGGCGUCGGUUUCGGAGGAAGCAAUGUACCUGAGGAGAAGCUCGUAGACGAUUUGGAGGUGGGGCCAGGAGGGCUCCUGGUAGGGCUCGUCGUCGUCGAGGUCGCCGAGGUCGGAGGAGGGCGGGAGGCAGCGGAAGAGGUUGACGGAGACCAUGCGGAUGAAGUCUUCGUGGAGGUUAGGGGCGAGCUUGCCGGAGGAGGAGUCGAGGAAGUCGACGAGCUCGAGUAGGGUUUGGCGCUUCAGCUCGAUUUGGGGGGCGGAGGUUAAGGGGGUGGAGAAGUCGCAGAGGGAGGAGCAGAGGUGGACCUUGCGGAGGAAGAGGGAGGCGCGGUCGGAAACGGCGACGUUUUGGAAGAGCGGGAGGGGCUCCAUGGGUUGCGGGUCGGGUUUGCGUUUGGUGAGCAUCAAAACCCUAGAAAAAGGGAUUUAUAGAGGAGGAUUGGAGUCUUUUUGAGUUGGAAUAGGAAAAAGAGAGACGCUUGAAGAUCAGAGAGAGAGUUGCGGACAGAAAUAGAAAGUUUUGGACUUUAUGUUCUUGAAUAGGGGAGACUAUUUUGUAGUAGCUUAGCUCUCUCACUUCAGAUAUGGAUUUCUAGUCCACCCUCUGGCUAUUUUUAGCACCAAGAGCCAAUGACAUACAUGACUCAUAAGCACAGUAAUGAAAAAAAGAACAACAACACCGGGCAAACUCAUAUACAGGAGUAACACAACUCAAAAGAGCAGUACAUUAACCCAGAAUAGAUAAUAGAUUACUUAAUGAGCAUCCAUAAACUGAAGAGUUCUACACUGACUCAGUGCCUAAUGUUAGAAGACUCGGAAGCAUGUGUCAUGCUCAGAGUUCUUCGCAAAAAAGAUGCCGCGAGAUAUAAAUUAACUACUGUCAACAGAUUCACGGAUUAUGGGCUAUCUGUGACUUGGAGCAAAAGAAAUAAAUACAGAGCUGAACGGUUCAUUGGUUUUUACUUUGGGGAGAUUCCAAGAGUGAUCACCACCCUCCGGAGCCACUUCCACUUCCCCAAGCACUUGAUGACGGCUUGCUCCAUGCAUCAGCGGGCUUUGCUUCCUCACUAGCUCCAACAUUUCCACCAUCUCCAUUACCCCAGGCGCUAGCUGAUGGUUUGGUCCAUGAAUCAGCAGGCUUGGCUUCACUACUAGCUCCACCGCUUGCACCAUCUCCAUUACCCCAGGCACUUGCUGAUGGCUUGCUCCAUGAAUCAGCAGGCUUUGGCUCACCAGUAGCUCCGCCACUUCCACCAUCUCCCUUACCCCACGCACUUGCUGACGGCUUGCUCCAUGAAUCACCAGGCUUUGCUUCACCAGUAGCUCCGCCACUUCGGCCAUCUGCUGCGGCACCCCAAGAGCUUGAUACUGGUUUUGCUCCCAAAAUGCCACUUCCACCAUCUCCAGUACCCCAGGCACUCUUGCUCCAUGAUUCAGUGGGCUUUGCUCCACCACUGCCACUUCCACCAUCUCCACCACUACCCCAAGCACUCUUGCUCCAUGACUCGGUGGGCUUCGCUCCACCACCGAAGCCACCAUAGCUACCACCUCCCUGAGAGCAGUCCCUAGCCAUGUGUCCAGACUCACCACACUUGAAACAGUUCCCGCUUCCAGCGCCUCUACCACUGCCGCCCUGAGGGCACUCCCUAGACAUGUGUCCAGACUCACCACAUUUGUAACAGUUCCCACCUCCAGCCCCUCUACCCCCACCACCACCGCCCUGAGGGCACUCCCUCGACAUGUGACCAGAUUCACCGCACUUAAAACAGUUACCACCUCCAGCCCCUCUACCACCACCGCCCCCCUGAGGACACUCCCUUGACAUAUGUCCAGAUUCACCGCACUUGAAACAGUUACCACCUCCAGCCCCUCUACCACCACCGCCCCCCUGAGGACACUCCCUCGACAUAUGUCCAGAUUCACCGCACUUGAAACAAUUACCACCUCCACCCCCUCUACCACCACCGCUGCCCUGAGGGCACUCCCUAGACAUGUGACCAGAUUCACCACACUUGUAACAAUUCCCCCCUCUACCACCACUGCCACUUCCACCAUCUCCAGAACCCCAGGCACUCUUAGUCCAUGAUUCAGUGGGCUUUGCUCCACCGCUGCCACUUCCACCAUCUCCAGUACCCCAAGCACUCUUACUCCAUGAUUCAGUGGGCUUUGCUCCACCGCUGCCACUUCCACCAUCUCCACUACCCCAAGCACUCUUACUCCAUGAUUCAGUGGGCUUNNNNNNNNNNNNNNNNNNNNNNNNNNNNNNNNNNNNNNNNNNNNNNNNNNNNNNNNNNNNNNNNNNNNNNNNNNNNNNNNNNNNNNNNNNNNNNNNNNNNNNNNNNNNNNNNNNNNNNNNNNNNNNNNNNNNNNNNNNNNNNNNNNNNNNNNNNNNNNNNNNNNNNNNNNNNNNNNNNNNNNNNNNNNNNNNNNNNNNNNNNNNNNNNNNNNNNNNNNNNNNNNNNNNNNNNNNNNNNNNNNNNNNNNNNNNNNNNNNNNNNNNNNNNNNNNNNNNNNNNNNNNNNNNNNNNNNNNNNNNNNNNNNNNNNNNNNNNNNNNNNNNNNNNNNNNNNNNNNNNNNNNNNNNNNNNNNNNNNNNNNNNNNNNNNNNNNNNNNUACCACCACCGCCGCCCUGAGGGCACUCCCUGGACAUGUGUCCUGACUCACCACACUUGAAACAAUUUCCACCUCCACCCCCUCUACCACCACCGCCGCCCUGAGGGCACUCCCUGGACAUGUGUCCCGACUCACCACACUUGAAACAAUUCCCACUUCCACCCCCUCUACCACCGCCGCCACCCUGAGGGCACUCCCUCGACAUGUGGCCAGACUCACCACAUUUGAAACAGUUUCCACCUCCACUCCCUCUACCACCACCGCCUCCCUGAGGGCAGUCCCUGGACAUGUGUCCAGACUCACCACACUUAAAACAAUUCCCACCUCCACUCCCUCUACCACCACCACCAUUGCCACCAUACCCACCAGCAGACCCUUGAUCCCCACCUUUACUCCAAGAACCACCAGCAGGAUUAUUCCAAGUAGAACCUCCAUCUUGUUUAUUCCAGAUAGAACCUCCAUCUUCUACACCACUAGGCUUCUUCCAGCUGUCUUUCUCAUUCUCAUUACCAGAUCCGCCUUGAGCUUUUGCCCAGCCACCUGCAUUACCCCAGCUCCCAGUCUGAUUCUCUACUGAUGGUAUUGAACUUUUCCACCCUACAUCACCAUUACUUGAGCCCUCUUGCUUACCCCAUGAGGAUCCUCCAGUUUGUUUACUCCAAGAACCUCCAGCUGGCUUACUCCAAGCAGAACCUCGAUCACCACUAUCAUCUGCAACAUUUGGUUUCUGACUAUCAUUACCGCCCCAAACAGAACCUUGAUCCUUGUUAUCUGCUGCUGCUGCUACACCCCAGGAUGAACUAGCAGGUUCUGAUGCUUUUUGCCAAGUAUCUGACGAAGUGCUGUCACCUCCAACUUUAGCGCCCCAAGCGUCGCUUUUUCCACAACCAGUACCUUCAUCCUUGUUAUCUACUGCUGCUGCAACCCCCCAGGAUGAACUGGCGGGUUCUGAUGCUUUUUGCCAAGUAUCCGACAGAUUGCUGUCACCUCCAACUUUCGCACCCCAAGAUUCGCUUUUUCCCCAUCCAGUACCUUGAUCCUUGUUUUCUGCUGCUGCAACACCCCAGGUUGAGUUGUUAUUUGGAGCCAUGUUCCUCUCCCAAGAAUUAUCCUCUACAUCCACAGGUUAUGACAGAAAAUAAAUGAACAUCUUCACACAAGGGUUAACUUUCUUAUUAAAGGCAUUGCCUUUUUGAAACUUGGAGAACUGAAAGUACCUUUAUUAGCACCAUUUCCAUCAGAAUCAAAAGGAUUCGCAGAGCUGGACUCAGGCUGAAGCUGGAAGCAUCAAAAGACUUGCUGAUUAGGUUACAAAUCAAAUACAUACACAUAGAGAUGAUUUCUUUUGUUGUGGGGAGAGGGAGAGGUGGAGGAGGAGAGUGAGAGAGAGAGAGAGGAUGAAAAUACUGUGCGGGAUCAAGACCUACCGAAUUGCCCGAGGCAGAGAAACUAGGCCAAGCAUUCCUGCAAAAAAGUGGCAAUUAAAUAAUUUUGAAUUUGAAGUAAUCAAAACUAAGUGCACAGCAGUAGAUCUGGAUAUUUAUCACUACACUGAGUAGAAUAUGGUCACGAUCAAAAUUGAAGCACCUUUCAAGAUCUUUCAAGAUGUAGUAAUCUGUCUAUUUAUCACUAACUGAGUAGAGUAUGGUCAUGAUCAAGAUUGAAGCACCUUUCAAGAUCUUUUAAGAUGUAGUAAUCUUAAAGCACUGACCCACAAAUGAGAUAUUCAACAUACAUGUAGACUAAGGUCGACCUUGAAACAUCAAAACACUCACACUCACACACCAAAAGAAAAAGAAUAAGAAAAACAUUGAAGUGCUUUAUCAUCUGAAUAAGCAGUUGCUGCGUCAUUUGUCAAGAUUAGUUUUGCAUAUAAUAAAGUCUAGUGUUCCAAUAACGUGUAUUCUGUUGAAAUCUUAAUAUUUUAUCACGCAACACUACUUUAUACCAUUUAGUUACUUAACUUAUGGUGUAGACAUUCGCACACAAAAGCAUUAUGCCCGACUUCUGUUAACAAUUCUAAGGAAAUAUUGAGAUCCUGGAGUAAAGCUAUACAUCAACAUUCCAUAUUUAAAUCCCAACCAAUCAAAUAUAAGGCACUCAAUGAUUAAUGUUGUGCAUAAUGAGAGUGCAUUAAAGGUAUAAAAAAAUAUAGGGUGCAUUAGUUGACAGGCCCAAAAUGUUACCUUUCACCAGAUGACCCUCCAGCAUUCCACGCAUCACCCCCGGCUGAUGUCCCAGCUCCAUCGGUCCAAUCUGCAAGAACAACAAGCACAUCAAUUCUCAGAAACAUAUUUCUUGAAAAUCAAAAACAAAAUUGGAUGUGAAAAGGACUAGGAGACAAAGAGGUAAUCUAGAAUGCAAUGGUUAAAGUGCCAAGAGUUUCAUACCUGUAGAGCCUCCUUCAGUUCCAAGCAAAUCGAAUGGUUUAAGAGAGCUGGACUCCGGAUCCUCACUAACAGGGAGAAAGAUUACAUCAGUAAACUAAUUGAAAAGACGGUAGGUAACCAACAUCUUUAUACAAAUGAUUCAUUGCAUGUAAGAAGUACCUAAGCAUGGCAGAGCUCUUUGCACGAACCUCUGUAAGAUGCUCAGCUUUAACUGCAGAAUGUUGACAAAAAAUGAUAACAGCAAUAGAAUCACAUUCAUCGGAUCAAUAAAGCAAAUUACACAUGGCAUUUAAUCGAGAUCGACAAACCUGUAAGAACCCUUUGCUGAGAAUCAAGCUUAACAGUGAUAUCAGCACGGCGUAUGGCCAAGACACGACAGAGGUAUCCCUUCAAUGGACCAACACGAAUUCUUAAAGUUUGACCAAUUGAGAACAUUCCGUCAGUAUUGCCCUGAUUGACUGCAGUCAAAAAACUUAUCAGCUUGACUCAUAUAGAUAUCACAGUAGAGAACUUACAAUAACACAUUAAGACUCAUACGUACAGUUAUUCUCCUUUAGCCACGGCUUUUUUGGUGAUAGAGGGGACUUGGGUGAUAAUGUGAAAUCAUCAAAGUCCAUAGCACCCGAAUCCCCAUCCUGAAUCAGGAAAGAAUAUCAUCAUUAAUAUACUCAUUCUAAAAUAUAAUGUACAAAUAUACAUAAAAUACUAUUUCCUAAAUAAAUUAAAAAGUGCAGCCAACCUUUUCUGGGCUGACGUCAAUGGAAAGCUUGAUUUUCUCACACAUGUGAGAUUUUGAGCAGAAAUAACCACCAUUUUCUGUCUCGUUCUCAUCAAACAUGAAUAUCGUGCCUCUGUAGACUUGCUUCACUAUUCCUUGCCUAUCCUGAAAUGUGAGAUACCUGUUUUUUAGUUUCCGCUGCCUUUAGAAGCACACGUUUCUCAAUAGAACUUUUCUAAUAUAUAUGAUAAAUGAUCUCAAAUUAGUGCCAAACCUUUAAUGGUCCUUCCAAAACUUGAACUGUAUCAUUGACACCAAUGGGCUUCUGGCGCUGAUCAUAAGCUGUAAAUUUUACAUCAGAGAGUACAUUCUUUAUCUCCUUCUGUGGAAUUGUCACAACGGCAGAUCCUUCCGAACCCUCUUUCAGAAUCUAGUGAACAUAAAAGUGAGUCAGAAUAUUAAGUACCUAAGCUCAUUGAUUAGAUUAUGUAUUCUGAGCACAUUAACUAUAUUAUGUACCUUGUAAGUAUCAUCUUUCUCAAUGCCUAGCACAAGACCAAAAUCUUUCUUGCUGCAAUAGAAAAUAUAUUAAGUAAAUAUCAUUUCAAUAUUAAGCAGUUCAUUGAGAAAAGAUCAGAGCCACAGCAGCUUGUAAGGACUCACCCAAAACAGACAAGAUCAUACAUCCCAUAGAGAUUCUCACCACACCCGGAAGAACUUUCUCCUUUCCCAGUACACCCUGAGGAGCCUUCUUUUUCUCCUUUCCCAGUACACCCUGAGGAGCCUUUUUUCCCACCUGAAGGACCUUCUCCUUUCCCAUUACCCUUUGAUGAACCUUCUCCUUUCCCAUUACCCUUUGAUGAACCCUCUCCUUUGCCAUCCCCUAUAUCAAUGUCGACGCUCUUCCUUUUCUUAUUUUCACCAUAGAGCUGUGAAAGCCACUCCAGAUCAGUAGAUUCAUUGUUCUCGGAGGGCCUGAAUUUCAGUAUCUCCUCAUCUGAUGGAACGACUCCCCGACAAAUUAAGGAAUCUAACGGCACUUUUUUGUAUAAAUAUCCAUCCUUAAGGAGCAAACCAUCAAAACAGAGAAAAUGCAAUCCGGUAUCCUUAUCCUUCCUGUGCUGAAUGAGAGGGCGGAACUCCCUACAAGUGAAAUAAAUUAGUGAACCAGAAGCUGGCAUCAAAUAAUAAGCUACCAGAUAAAUUUUGUGGCAUACUCAAGUUCGCUUGUGCUGAUCAAUCUCGGUGCUGGAGUAGGCAGUUUCUUUCUAGAAACACCCCCACCCUAUAAGAUAAAAAGGAAUCAAAAUUAUCUAGUUGCAAAGUUGCAGGUCCACAGAAAAAUGACAGAUCCAAUCAAAUAGCAGUAAAGGAAACUAAAUUGCUGGUUAACUAUAAAUUGUAUAACAUGCACCUUCUUAAAUAUAAGGUUAUAAAUUUGCAUUAAUAAUCUAAAAUAAUUUACUGUUAACUAUAAAUGGUAGAAUGUGUGCUAUCUUAAAUAUAAGGUUCAAAACGUACAUUAAUAAUCUAAACCUACUACCAUAGCACUUGCAUCGGUUGACUUUUGUAUUUAUACCAUUGAGGAUAUGACCAAAGAACAACACCAUUCUUAAUCCACAUCAAACUUGCUUUACGUAGCGAAAUACUGAGAGCUUUUCUACCAAGAUGUACUUAUAAGUAACGUGCAAACACGAUUUUCAAGAGAUUAUCAAAACGAUGAUCAUAACCUUUCAGAGAAAAAAAAAUAACUUUUUAAAAGACAUUAUUGCUAGAAAUUGUAAGAGAGAAGACACAACAAAACCCUUUAAAAAAAAAAAAAAACCUAAAAGCGAGACAAGAAGCAAAAGGCCAGUAACAUGAAGAAGUCAAAUGACUCAAAUCUUAGACAGACCAGGGUACUGCAGAAAUCUGUGUAGGAGCAUCUACAGAAAUCUCCCACUUGGGGACGAAUGGCAUAAAAUUACAAAUAAAGAUGCCUUCAUUAGAAAAGUUUAAAAAACGAAAGAGUUGUUGGAAUCAGCUUUUAGAAGAACUACGAAAACUGAAAGCAUAGCAAUCAUGUCAUGGUAUGACAUGUACAUAACAGCUUUUACAAAAUAAAACUCUACCAAUUCUUCAAGGGGGAAAGAAGCAUUUAUUAUCCAGUGAAAAAUCAACAGCAUGAAACAAGGAUAAUGCAAAUUUGCAUCGAGGACUGAAAUAACCCAUCUAAGGUACAACUGUCAAAGAUGGUUCAACCAAAAUAUAUAUGAAAUGCACCGGUGCUAACAUAUUUCCUAAUGACAUAAAAUUUAUUUCCCCACAUUGCUCCAUGAUAGUUAGCAAUUACCAAUUAAAAGCGAAACUUUAGUUUGGCAAAAAUAACAAUAAAAAAAUCACAAAACAAAAACUAGACAAGCAAGCAAUUCCCUUACAAAUUUCAUAGCCAUUGCUUGUAGAUCAAUUCUGGGUAUCAGCUUUACUGUUGCUUUUUUCUUUUCGUUCACAGCCACAACCUACAGAAACCAAACUCAGAUACAUAUCUAUUGGUCAAGGAACACCUGCCCAAAUUAGGAUAUUGGCCAACUUAGGAUAUAUAAUACCUGUCCCAAGUCACCUUUGUAGUUCCCACUCUUCACACGGGCCCAUGUACCGACAGCAAUUUCACUGUUUUUAGUCCGAGGAGCCAACAAAUUAGGAGCUUCACUUUUGGGAACUGGCGUUACUCGGGAUAGAAAUAUAUUACAAAGUCCUUUACAUGCCUACGAAAAACAACGUUAUUAGUUAUUAGGAAUAGUGUUGCACCAAAAGAGCAACUUUACUAGUACCAAUUAACAACGAGCAACUUGUACAGCAUUGGAAGCAUAGAUUACCUCCUGAACGUCACAUAGCUUAUCAGCUUCAAUGAAGAUAAAACCCUUGAUGUGAUCAACAGCAAAUGCAGAUAUAAUCUGCAGCUUGGUACCCAUUGAUGCUAAGUCAACAAACUUCUGCAUCAUACAGAAAGCUGAGUGUCUCUCGCGUCCAACCUACAGCCAAAAAGUUGAGUGAGAAUAGAUUGUGGUUUAUUCUAUAGGCAAAGAAGAGAUCAAUGAUUUUAGAAGAACAUUCAAUAUUAUACAGCACUAAAAAGUAAGAAAGCAUCUGAUGCUUACCGCACACUUUACUUUCCAGACAACAGGAUCUUUAGCAGAAGGCUCAAGCACAAUUCCAUCAAUCGAUCUUUUGUUUUCAUAAUUAUCUUCAGCAUAGGUAACAUAUGUAGAACCAGUCCUGUAUCGUUCUUCCAUCAUUCUUUCAAAUUCUUCCCCAUCCACUUCCUCCUCUUUAGGAAUGAAUGGAAGGUUACGGGCUUUCCCAGGUUCACUCUGGACAAUAGGUUCUGCUUCAAGUUCUUCUUCCAUAAAAUCUGUACCCAGUAAUUUAUUAAAAAUAAAAAAUAAAAAAAAUAAAAACCUAUGUGAAUAAAGAUUUCGUAGAUGAAAUAAAACAUCUUCUAUAAUGAUACUUUUGCACAUCAUGUUUUUAAAGAUUGUGUUGGUAAGAAGGAUUCUUAUCAACACCAAGCAAGCUUCAUUUGAUAAAGUGUGUGCUAACAUAUAGAACAGCUGGCAAGAACUAUUAUAACACUUUACUGGAAUAUACAUAACCAUAAACGCAAUCAUCCUUCAUAAUGCAUAUGCAAACCAAGCACCCAGGCAUGAACUAUUGUGUCGUAUCUUCAUAUGCAACAAACUUCCACGCAGCUAGUAAAUCCCACACAAAAAUGUUCACACAAAUUUAAGACCAGAGUUUCACUAAUCUACCAUAAAGGUACCGACUUUUUUCCAUGGAAUCAACGACCACAGCCAACAAUCAUAUAUCACACAGGAACCACUGCAUGCAACAGCAGUAGUGUACCGCAUUUGGCACCACAUGCAACUUCAGUAGCUCAUACAGACCCCCAAGAAACCACAAAACUCAACCAUUUACAGAGAAACCCAAUCAAUCCUAUCACUAAAUCCACAUAUACCAAAAGAAAGGUACACCAGAAAUGAGGUAAACACUCGAAAUGCCUCAAAAUGGGCCUGGAUUGAGCCAAAAAAGCCAUAAAAGCUUCAACAAUCACAGCGAGUCUCCUCAAAAUCCAUAUCAACCACUCCAGUAAACUCAAACAAAGACUCGAAACCGUCAUUUUAACCAUCUCUACUUAAAAAGGCUCCAGAUUUAAAUACACAAACCCUAUUUGUAUAAAAAGAAAAAAGAAUGGAGCUUUAGGUAACCAAACAAACCCAGCAUUUCAAACUUUAAGAGUGAGAAGAAACCGAAAAACCCCAAAAUAGAAGAAAAAAUUAACCAAAUAUCUCAGUGAAAAAGCUAGUCACGUUUACAAAGCAAGCACAAAACGAAAUCCAUUUCCAAAACCCUAGAAUUCCGAAACACCCAGUCAAAAACGACGUCGGAAAGAGAGAGAGAGAGGGGAAUAUACCGUCCAUGUCGCUGUCGUCGGAGCCGUCAGCUUCGGCGGCGGAGUGCUCGAAGAACUGGAGAACGCCGGGGUUCAUCCGCUUCCGGCUCCCACCGCCGGACUUGUCGUCGCCGGGCUUGCGCUUGCCGGCGGCGGACGAUCCGCUCCCGGCGAUCGCCUUCCCCUUAUCCUUCGAGGCCAUCACACACACAAUGCUAGGGUUUUCUCAGAGCAACAACGCCUCAAAUUGCAUGUAGAGAGAGAAAGCGAAACGUUUCGGAGCUCUCUUCUCUCUCUCUCUCUUCUCUCUCUGGUACUGAAUGAUACUGACGAAGGUCCGCAGGCUAAAAUGUAUGUUGGUGCCAGUGAGCUCUGUCGAAAUUACCGCUCUGCCCUUCGGUACGGUGUGUGGUUUUACCAUUUGCCCUGGGGUGAGUUGCGUAACUCCAAUACGCUUUUUUCAUCCGUUUGGUUUUUACCUUUUUCGGUUCUUGAAAUUACUGGAUUAUUUUUCUUUUUCUGGUAAGAAGAAGUUACUGUUUUAACCCCGGCCCUGGUAGUAUUGUGUACGGGUAAAUAGUACAUACUGGAAAAAGUAAUUGGGGGAUUUUGUGAGAAUAAUAUAAGUGGUCAUUUACACAAGGUUCUAGAUUUAACCCUUUCAGAGGUUAUUUUGAGUAGUAACAGAUUUAGAAGUAUUGACUGAUUUGUAUUUUUGAUUGUUUUUUCAAGUGAAUGAAAUUAUAUCUAAUUCACGAACAAUGCAAUUGAUUUAAGAGUGGGCGGUGAGUUUUCUGAAGAAAAAAAGAAAAAAACUUUGACAGUGUUUUAGUGAUAUGAAAUUAUGAAUUGAGAUACCAAUGAUUUUAUAAGAAGCUGUGGUUAUAACAACUUUGAAAAGUGCAAAAACCUGAAAACUGUAGUUGUUGUAGAAAAUAAUCAUGAUUGAUAUGGCUCGUAUAAUUGAGCUCGUAAAGAGUCUUUUUUUCGGAUAACAACGCGGGAAAAACCCAGUUAGACCCAACAACACCAUGGGUUAUCAAUUAGCCUAAUUAACCAAUAAACCACGACUCACCGAUUCAUUAUGUCUAUUCUUAACUGAGGUCGAUGAAGAGACCAUUAAUCAUCAAGGUUUCCCUCACUUUGCUGCCGAAAACAUAUUUUGUGAUAUUAUAUUUCAUCAUGCUACUCGUAUGUUGCGUCCGUUUGCCUCUCUAAACACACCGAGACUGAGUGUAUAGAGUGUAGAUCAUAAAUAAUUCAUUAUGACAAACUAAAUAAUUCGCACAAACAUGUCUCUUGAUGGCAAUACACAUCUGAAUUUUAGACAAAUGCUCCACAAAUGUAAAAUGAUCACACUUUGUUGUGUUGUUGUUGCGCUUAGGCCAUGGUGAAGCAACCAAGAGAGAUGUAAUGUAAAUCAUGUAUUACCAAUUCAGCUACCCAGAUUUUCAAAGGUCUCAAACAUAUGUAUGAGAAUAGUAAACCCAUAAAAUUGAAAUAAAAUUAAUCAAUGUAUAUAAUAAGGCAUAGAUUUACCAAAAAAUUAUAUUUCAUUUACUCAAAACAAACUCGCAAAUUACAUGAACAUCAAGUUCAUAAACCCAAUUCUAAUGAAACUCAGAUCUAACCAUAGACCCACUAGAAUAACUACUAAACUUAAAACCCAAUAUUAACAAAAAUAAGAGUUCCUAGAUCAACCCACGAAACCGUGAAAGGUCCUUCCCUGCCUCUUAAGAGCAUAGACAACAUCCAUGGCGGUGACGGUCUUCAUCCGAACGUGCUGAGUGUAAGUUACGACGUCACGCCGUCGAGGAUGACAAUGACGUUCUCGAGGAAGAUCUUGAGGAGGUGAGAGUGGAGGUGGAGGUGCAAAUCUAAAACUAUCUUGCAGGUGGAGGUGGAGCUGAUGAGGAAGGGGUUCUGUCACUCUUGUUGAGAGCUUCUCUUGAGGACUAACUUCUGGUUGCAGAUAUUUCUCAUUUAGAAAGGUCUUGACGAAAUUCCAAAAAAAAAAAUCUCAACGAGAAAUUGGAGAAUAAAAGAGAUAGAUGAUAUGAGAAAUUUUUCAGUGCUCCUGAAAGACCACGUGGCAGUCUGACGUGGUCCUUCAUUCCAUUUAAAUUUAGUAAACUACAUACUAAUUAAUAACCAAAUUUCAGGUUACAAAUACAUCUUUUACACAUUAUCUUACACAUCUAAGGACAAAUAUUAACAAAUUAGGACAAAUUAAUAUCCACAUACUAUCUGUUAUUAUAUAUUUUACCAGAAUACUCUUCACUACAUAUUUGACCGCUAAUCUGCUACUGUCAACCAGAUAUGUGCUGCUGCCUGGAAUGAAUAUGCUACUGCAGAGUACGAAUAUGCUACUGCCAGUACUAUUGCAAUUAUUUUCCAGCAAUUCUCCGAAACCAAACAGAGAUGCUACUGUCGCGAUUGGAAACCUUCUGCUACUGACGACUGAAUAUUUACUGCUACUAUCGAAUGUACAGUAGCAUGGCUCAUACUCUUCCAGAUCUAGGGUCUUGAAUAACGUCGUAACAGUAGCAAACAUGUAACAGCCUUAAGGUUUCGACAAAUGACGAGAUAGUAGCAGGAAGUGGCCAACGUAAAUCUUGAACGGAUCAUGCCGCAGACCUCUUGGUAGUCGUCAAUGACAGAACCCCACCGAUCAUAUCUACUAAAAGCCUCUGCAGAAAAGCCUCUGCAGCCACGGUUUCUUACUCUCGAUAUCCGGCAAGACGCUAUCGAGGACCUCGAACUACUUGUGCGGUAGAUCAAGCUUGGGCCAUCAUCAAUCUGAGGGCGCAAGGUCCCUCCCUAGGUGAGCAGAGAGAUUAAGAUGGCUUGAUUGGGUCCUAAUCGGAGAUUCCGACGAUUAAAGAUGUUCGGGUCGACCCGAAUUCGAUUGUGGACGACGGGGCUGUGAUGUUGUUGACUGGGUAGGAGGCUAACAAGGCUCCGACGCGGCUCGAGUCUGGAAUUGCGGGUUAAAGCAUAUUGGCCUUUUGUGUCUGUACCUGAAUCUGCAGAGAGAGAGAGAAGAAGAAGAAGAAUAAGAGAAAAACCUGAUAUGAAUGUGUGGGGAGAGAGAUAGAAUAAAGAUUUGAUGGCAUUUGUGUAAUUCUGUGGGAAAAUUGAUCAUUUUGGUCAUUUCAUAGUUAAAAUUCGGGUCAGGCCUGUGACCAUUGAUUUUGGGCCUCAGUUUGUGUCCUAAUUUGUUUAAAAGUAGGUUUUUUGUGUUUUAAAAUUUGUUCAUGUAUUACUUUGUAAUUUUCUCUUUAAAUUUUGACAUGUGAAUUUUCAUGAUGAAAAACAAUUUUAGCGAUUUUGUCAAAGACCAUUUUGGGUUUUUUGUUGAUUUUUAAAAUCCUAACCCCUAAACUCUAUACCCUAAACCUAUACCCUAACCAUAUAUCCUAUACCCUAAACCCUAUAUCCUAAACUCUAGGCCAAACUCAAAAAACAAAACUAAAAGACAUCCUAGCCAUUCAUUAAGAAUUGAUGGCUGAGAUUGCUUUAUGAGGUAAUAUUAACAUAAAAAUAUUAAGAGAGGAUCCGAGUCGGUCUUUUCUUAAUUGAGGUCGAUAAAGAGACCAUUAACCAAGGUUUCCCACACUUUGUUGCCGUAACAUAUUUGGUGAUACUAUAUUUCAUCAUGUUACUCGUAUGUUGCGUCCAUUUGAUCAUACAAAUAGAACACUACCUCUAUGUUAACACUAGACACAAUGUGCAAAGCGUAAACCGAGACAAACAUGCUUGACGCAAUGAUUAUACAAAUAUAAAAUGCACUAUCUCGUGUUUGUGUUUUAUCUGUUAUUCUGUUAAUUCAGUCAUGCUAAUUGUAGUAAGUUUAUUUUCAGCCGUCUGAUUCACAUGUCUCUAAUCAACAUAUAAUUUACAGAGUUUAGACUUUGGUGGAUGACCAAGAGACCAAGAGACCAAGAGACCAAGAGUUAAAGAUGGGUUCCGAUUAGGUUAAAUCAGAGCCGUCACGUGCUAACCACGUGUCACUAUAAACCCAGCAAUUAUAUACCCGGCCGGAUACGAAAACCAACCGCUCACUCCAAUUGGAUUUCACAGUGCCUUCCCUCCAAACUCGCCGAAGCACCCCAAAAACGACGCCGCAUUCAUCCUUCUCCGAUAACGAAACACCCUAGCUCGGCCACACCUUUCCGAGAACCAAGGGGCAGAACCGGUCAUACAAUAAGAGAACCAGAGGAGGCAAAAUCACCAAGGUCUGAAUCUCACCCCCCUAUUUCCCUCCCAAAACCAUAAACCUCUUUCCGCUCUGGUUUUCAAAAUUAGGGUUUUCAGUCUAAUCAGGGUUUCUGUUCUGGUUUUCUCAGGUCGUCAGAGAGCACUAUCUCCCCGACGAUAUCUACUGCGGAGCUCCGGUAUGCCAAAAGUGCAACAACACCAAUGCUCGCCUGAGCGCCGCCGCUUCCACCGUCCUCGUCCUCGUCCUCGUCCUCGACACCAAUGUGGUGCUCAACCAGGUUCGAAUCUCAUUUCUAUGGUUUUUGUUGAGUUUGCACUAUCGAAUUUGAAUUAGGAAGUGAUUUUGAGCUUGAGACUGGUUUUGCAGAUUGAUUUGAUUGAGAAUGCAGCCAUUAACGACGUGGUGGUGCUUUCGAUUGUGCUCGAGGAGGACAAGAACAGGAACUUGUCCGUUUACAAUAGACUUAGAGCUAUCUGUAGCAAUUCCUUGCGGAACUUCUAUGUUUUCUCUAAUGAGCAUCACAAGUAGGUUUCGGUUUCUCUUUUUUGCUUUAGAGUUUUCGUUUUGCGAAUUUGACUCUUGUUUUGAUAUUUAACCCCAGAGUUAAAUAUUAAUUGGGCUGGGAUUCAGUGGAGAGGCGAUUGCGUCUCUCUGGGGUUUUGGAGACCCCUAUUUGCUGCGGAUUAGGAAGGGCGAAUGGAUUAACAUGCUCAAUUUUGUUUUUGCUUCCACGUUCUUGAGUAUGAGCAGUAUAAGGUCAGAAUUUUGGGAUUUUGUUUUCUGUUUUGAUUUUAGAUUACAUGCAUGUAUAUGAUUUCUGUAAAGCACAAGAACCCUAGAUGCAUGCCCGGAAUGCAACAUAGGUUAGUGUACUCCUGUGGUGUCCAGAUGAAACUUACCUUCAGUUGCAUGAUUUUGUGUUUUGGAUUGGAACGAUGCUUGUCUAAAAUUGAAUGAAGUUUCUAUGUGUUUGCAAUUGAUAUAAAGAUGUUGUAUGAUUCAUGCUUAUCCUCUGCACCUUAGAUUUUGAUUAAGAUAUACAUAUAUAUAUAUAGAGGUUUGAUUGCUUUGAUUGAUUAAGAUCGUGUGUUUUGAGAAUUGAGUUUUGAUCUUCAUAUUAGUUGUUUGCUGGGCUUAAGUUUAUCUCCCUGUUCAGUAUUGUGAAAUCCUUGUGAACACACUACAACAAAACUCAAAACACAAAACACUCUAAAUAUAGUCUUGAUCCAGUUUAAUUAUAAUCUUUUAACAAAUUGUAUUGUCAAUAGCAAUCUUUUUGAAAGGAAUUAAUGUUAAACAGAAGUAAUGGAUCAACAACUUGUAAUAUUGAAUCUAAUUGUCUGUGUCUUUGCUCCCUUAAGGAGGUUUAAACAUUCACAUCUCUUAGGUUCAGUAUUAGCAUAUAACAGAAAAUUAAAAUGCAUUCAGGGGUUGUUAGAGGUUGUUCUUCUUGCCACUCUAGGUGUUGACAUAAUCUAAUAAACCUAUAGUUGUUUUAAUAUUCUGGUUAUAUGAUUCAGCUUGUGUCGAUAUGUCCUUUUGCCACUCUAGGUAAGGCAGACACCUUAUGUUUUGGGGCACUUCAGUUUAAUGCCGUAUAUUUAUAAAGUUUUACUAAAUCUAGAACCUCUUUAUGUUUUACUACAGCCAUGAACCUCCCCUUAGGACUUCUUCAAAUAUAAAGCUUACAUGGGUCGAACUUUAAGCAAUGGAAGCAAGACAUAGAGCUGCAUCUAGGAAUGAUAGACUUUGACCAUGUCCUUAAUUAAGGAGGAUCCACUAGCAGAACCAACAACUACUACCGGCAAGGAUGUGAAAGAUAGGUACCAUCAGUGGCAUAAACACAACAGACUGACCUUAGCUAUUCUGAAGAAAUAUACGACAACUUCUGUGAGAGGUAGUAUACCUGAGUCUGAGUAUGCUAAGCAAUAUUUCAAAAAUAUAGAAGAAAGGUACAUAGUAUCAGAGAAGGCAGAGAUUGGAAACUUGAUGAAUACCCUCAUUACCAUGAAGUUUGAUGGAGUUGGAAGCGUUAGGGAAUUUAUAAUGAAGGGGAUUGAUAUCGCUGGAAAACUCAACGCCCUAAAUGUCAGUAUUGAAGAUACUUUUCUGGUGCAUUUGCUUUUGAAUUCUCUACCUCAGCAAUAUAGUCAGAUGCAGUCAAACUACAAUACACAGAAGGAGAGUUGGUCUGUGAAUGAACUGAUUUCAAUAUGUGUCCUAGAGGAGUAUAGAAUAAAGAAGGGAUAGAGCAUUGGAGUGAAUCUUGUCAGCAAGCCUCAAUUUAAGAAGAAAUUCGGCUAUAGGUCAAAUCAAUCUGGUGCUUCAUCUUCCAAAGUUUCUCAGGGAAAUUCUCAGGGAUUUAACAACUAUAAGAAUUUUAAGAGUGUGGGUCUGUAGAGUGUUUCUUCUGCCGAAAGCCUGGUCAUGUCAAAAAGGACUGUAAGGGUUUUAAAGACUGGCUGGUUAAGAAAGGGAUAUCUAAGAAAGAGGAUCCCAAAUAAGGACGAAGCUAGGAUUAGCUCAGGGAAUGGCAAACAGAGUAACUGUCAAAGCAAUUGGAGUAGUUAGGCUUGUUUUCCUAGUGGCUUUACUUUAGAUCUGGACAAUGUGUACUGCAUACCUUCUAUGCAGAGAAAUUUAGUUUCAGGAUCUCUUUUUGUCAAAACUCAUGGUUAUUCUUUUGUUGGAAGUAAUAAAAGUCUCAAUUUUUUCCCUUUUUCUGAUUUUAUUAGUAAUACAUCUCUGGUUGAUGGUUAUUGGCAUUUAAACCAUAGAAAUUCACUUGCGGUAUUUUUGACAGAAAAGACUAUAGGACAUAAGAGACCUAGACAUAAUGAGAAUUCAACUUUUCUUUGGCAUAAAAGGCUGGGACAUAUCUCAAAAGAGGUUAAAAAUACUUGUGAGAGAGGACAUUCUACCUUCUUUAGAUUUUACUGAUUUUAACGUCUGCAUUGAGUGUCUUAAAGGUAGAAUGACCAAGUCUAGGAAAACGGGGUCUGUUAGGAGCUGAGAACUAUUAGGAUUAAUUCACAAUGACAUCUCUGGUCCUUUUCCUCAUCUGACUCUUUGUAAAAAUCAGUAUUUUAUUACCUUUAUUGAUGAUUUUUCAAGGUUCUGCCUGUAUUUCUUAUUUCUGAAAAGUCACAGGCUUUAGACGUCUUUAAAAGAGAAACAAUUAAUUAAAGUCAUUAAAGUUGUUAGAUCAGAUAGGGGAGGUGAGUAUUAUGGUAGGCAUACAGAUGCUGGACAGAAUAUGAGACCUUUUGCUCUUUAUCUUCAAGAAUGUGGUAUUUAGGCUCAAUAUACCACUCCAGGGACACCAGAACAGAACAGAGUUGCAAGAGAAGGAACAGAACGUUGAUCAACAUGGUUAGAAGUAUGAUUAGUAAGUCGGGAUUUCCAAGAUUUUUGUGGGGGGAAGCAUUGCAGAUUGCGAACUAUAUCUGCAAUAGGACCCCUAGUAAUUCAGUCAACAAUAAUACACCUUUUGAGUUAUGGUUCGGCAGAAAACCUAGUUUAAAUCACUUUCAUGUGUGGGGACGUAAGGCAGAGGCAAGGGUUUAUAAUCCCAAGGCAGGAAAGCUUGAUCGUAGAACCUCGAGUGUUUUCUUUGUAGGAUACUUAACCAAAUCUAAGGGGUUUAGAUUCUACAGCCCACAUCACCAUAUUAGAAUUCUAGAGACCAAUAGAGCUACAUUUUUAGGAGAGAUGAAUGAUGCUGACAAUGUUGUUAUGGAUGAACUAGAUAUGGAAGCCGGCAGAAAUAGUGUGAGUGACAUCGAUGAAUGGUUUGGGUAUAAUGAAGUAGAAAAUAAUGUGUCUGGUGACUUGAAUGAAGAAAAGGUAUGUAGAUUAAGAAAGUCAAUCUAUAGUUUAAAAACAGGCUUCGAGUCAAUGGUAUAUUAAGUUUGAUUCUGUGAUUACUUCAUUUGGCUUUGCUGAAAAUAGACUAGAUGAGUGUAUAUAUAUGAAGGUCAGUGGGAGUAAAUUCAUAUUUCUAGUGUUGUAUGUCGAUGACAAUCUAUUGGCCAGCAGUGAUUUAGGAUUGUUGAAAGAGACUUAGAACUUUCUGAUGAAGCACUUUGAUAUGAAGGAAAUGUUCACUGUUAGACGAGAGAAAAGAAAGGAAAAGAAGAAUGAAAAUAACGAAGCGAAGAGUUUUCGGAAGAAGACUGCUGGUAAAAAGGUUCUCAGUAUUUGCAUAAGACGAAGGAUUAUAUGCUGGUUUAUAGGAAUCUUGAUACUGAAUUAGAAGUAGUUGGAUACAGUGAUUCAGAUUAUAAGGGUUGUGUGGAUGAUCUUAAGUCAACCUCAGGGUAUAUUUUUAUGCUGGCUGGAGGGGCAAUAUCUUGGAAGAGUGUGAAACAGUCUCUAACUUCUACUUCCACUAUGCAAGCUGAAUAUGUUGCUGUCCAUACAGGGCAAGCACUUUAGCUCAGAAACUUUGUUGUACAGAUUGGAAUAGUAGAUUCUAUUGAGAAACCAAUUAAGUUAUAUUGUGAUAAUGCAGCUGCGGUAUUCUUUGCUAAGAAUAAUAAAAGGUCCACAGCUUCCAGUAAUAUUGUCGUCGAUUACUAUGCCGUAAGGGAAAGCGUAAGAGAUGAUGAGAUUGAUGUUAUUAAGAUCAGUACUCAAGAUCAGUUGGCAGAUCCACUUACAAAACCCUUAGGAGUUGGUACUUUCCAGAAUCAUGUUACAAAUAUGGGGAUCUUACCAAGUUUUGAUGUCUUAGGUUAGUGGGAGAGUUCAAUCUGCAUUGCUGUAGACUUAAUAUCUUUAAGGUUUCUGAUUUUAGUAUUUUAAUUAUUCAAAUAUCUGACUAAAGGAGUAUUAUUGAAUCAGUUUUCUGCAUAUUUUUUUUUCAUCUUGCUCAAGUAAAAGUUGUUAUUUCAGUUCAUUAGCAUUAUAUACUUUAAUACUUGUAUGUAUCUUCAGUAUUUGAAGUUGCAGAUUCCUUAAGUUGGAGAAUCUAUUAUUUGGAUCAUUUUACUUGCAUUAUGUUCUGCAAGUUAAAAUUUCAAAUGCCUAAAGUUUACUCCUGUUCUGUAAGAUAUUGGAUUUUAGUCACAUGCUUGGUUAAAUGUUAGAUUUCCUGUGGUUCAAUAUAAUGGAUUACAGAAUGACCGAGUUUUGGGAUGAAUUUGAUGGUGCUGGAUAUGUCUUUGUGCACACUUCAGUUUUGCUAUAUCUGAUGCAGUAGCUUUUCUUGUUGUUUGAAUAUUGAUAGUUCAAGUGGGAGAUUGAAAGACUUAAUGUGGACUAUCAAUGAUUCACUAAGUAUCAAUAACUAAGCUACAUAAAUUACAGAUGAAGCAAGUAAGACAUUCCUAGUGUUCAUCAGACUCAUGAUUGAUUACAUGUUAAUAUCAGUACUGAUUAGUAAGGUUACUUAGCUAAUGAAGUAUACCUACUUGCAUAUGGAACAGGAAAAGGUUGGCCUUAAUGUAGAAGGAUUGGGAAACCUUUUAUGGGAGGCACCUAAUCCUCAAUGCUCUAACAAUCAAUAUAAGCAUUCAAGUUCUCUGCCCCAUAAGUGAGAUUGCCUUCAGUCAAUUGUUCAGAGGAGAAGAUCAAGCAUGUCUUAUUCAGGUUAGUAUUUCCACUCUUGUAUAUACAUCAUAUGUGUUCUUGUGUUGAGUACAACUUAUAAUUCCGCAUACAUAUUUAGAAGUAAGUCUUAUCGAUUCUCUAUAACAUUACAUAACAUAAAAUAAAUCGUUAGAAAUUUUGUAGUUGGAUUUGUCUCAUUAUGUUAGACAUGAUCUUGCAUGCUAAAAGUUGUCAUACUAAGAAAAAUGAAUAAUUUACGUAUAUCUAUUAUCUUCUAAUUCACAAACAUGCACCCUUUUAUAUAAUUGUCUUAUUCCACACACCACCUGCAAUAUUAGAGGCGGUAUGCUAUAAUGCUAACUUGCUAAAUACAAGUAAAGUACAAUCUUGUAGGCAUAUAUGGAUAAAUAGUUCUUGCACAUUUCUCCAUUUCUUACCAUUGACCUCUGGGCUUGGAGAGGUCAUGUUUGAGACCAGUAGUUUCCACUCCAGCAGAAGUUUUAGCAACCUCUAAUUUCGUUUCAUCAGCCACACUAACCGUUUCUCUAAACUUCUUGUAAAUAUCACCCUUAUAAAACUUCCUUGUCCUCACCACCAAAACCAAAGAAACUAGUGUUCCAACAAAAGUUACCACAGUAAUAAUGAUGAAAGACCAUUUGAAGCACUCUCCCCCAACACAGUUCAACUCCUCUCCAACCUUCCUCUGAAUCCCCAAAGCUGCCAUUUGCUUCUUAGCCUCCACAUCAUACAAAUGCCCCGUAACCCUCACAUUGAGCACAUACAACCCAAUAGGGCUAGCCAAUCCACCAAUAUUGUACAAAGUCGAGUAGUACUUGAGGCCGAAAAGCUCGGAUAUAAUGGUGUAGAUCAAAGGCCAAUGAGCACCAAAACAAAAACCAGUGACCACUGAAGCAACAUAGACACCAUAUGGGAUGUUGAACGCUAUUAGAAGAUGACCAACACACGAGAGCAAGAGAAUUGCUGUGAAAAUUAGAGGGCGAGGCCAUUUGUACUUUGUGAUGAAUAUUUCUGAGCCUAUACCAGCGGCAAUAUGACCUGAAUAGUUCCAUAUGCUUGUUAGGGACACAAAGUUUCUUAUGCUUUUCAGAGGGUACCCAAGAGAUGUACCAAUUUGUCCCAAGUUGUCCAUCAUGGUCAUGGUGCCUCCAAGUCCACAAAUUGUUGCAAAGAGUAAAGUCACCAUCUCGACGCUGAAAACGGCUUGAAGUAUGGUGAAGUCCUCUCCGAUCUCCGGCGGGUUAAAUAUGUCUUUCCGCCAAGAAACUUCUUUUUCAAUGACAACAAAAUGUUCUAAUGGUUCAUCUCGAUGCCCCAAAAUCUCCGGUUUGGCAUGGCUAGAAUCUUUAGUUACUAUUGAUCUCUUGCUCUCCCAAACCUUGUACUCUUCCAUAAUUACCACGGUAAGUGGUAAAAAGAGUAAAAAGAGGACUACAGCUGCACUUCCAACAUACUCACUUGGACUAAACGUGACCCUUUUUUCCACUAUAAUUAUAACCAACAAAAAUGCAGCUAGACCUAGUGACAGAUAGAGGAAGUGAUAAAAAGCCUUGAGCUCGUUCGAGCCACGUCGACUAACCUUCAUGAUCCGAAUAGUUCCGAUGAAGGCGAAGGAAAUAGCUGUCGGAAGCCAGGCCACAACCAAAGUGAAAUACUUGGUAUCGUCACCGUAGACGGCAUGGUACAGCUGUGCCACCACAGCUGCACUUAUACCAGUAUAGCUCUUCAAAAGCCCUAGCACGAUGCCACGGCUCUCCGGGAAGUUCUUCACGCAGGUGACCAGAGCUCCGGUGUUGGUGAAAGUGUGUGAGUUAGCUCCUAUGCCCAUGUACAUGCACAUGUGCCAAACUUGGGGUUUAUGGAUUUUUUGAGCUACUGCUAGCCAAAUCAUGAAGUGCCCGAAGAAGUUGAGGACUGCACCGAUUGAUAAGACCACCCAGGGUGGUGUGACUUCGUUGAUGAGGCCGGAGAGGAUGCCAAUGUUGGCACCUAGGUCUUUGGAGAAGCUGAUGAGGUUGAGGGUGGUUUGGUCGUAGCCGAGGACAGACUUGAUGUCGUUGGAGUAGAGGCCGAACAUGUAGCUGGCACCGGCUGUGACCAUCAUCAGAAAUGAAGCAAACACAAUCAGCCAUCGUCCUUUGAGGACUUGCAGGACAAGGCUCUUCAUGUCCACCCAAGUCUAUACUAGCAGCUCCCAUUUCUUCUAGACAAGCCUUUUUAAUGAAACGUGCAACACCGAGACUAAUUCUCAUCAAAUAAAGCUUAAUUUUGAUGGUUCGGUGAAGCAUACAUAGUGAUUGCCACCUAUUUACAUAUACUGUAGCUCCCACUACACCAUCCCUAGUGCAUGCCAUGAUUGACAGUAAGAACUGGAACAUAUAUAGUACAUUGCUCCCUCUGUUUAUUAUAUAAACUAACUUGCACUAGACACUCAGAAUUAUAACCUAAUAAUUGCUUACUUCAAUUAUUUACCCCGGGAUUUCUACCUUACAUCUUUAACUUCAGAACCACUACUCUCAUAUGCACCUUCCAACUUUUCACUUAACUUUUGUAGUCUAACUGGGUUUCUGGCCACCACAGUUUCAUACUCUACUUCUUUGGCCUCAUCUUUGAACUUUUUAUAAAUGUCACUGUUAUAGAACUUCCUAGUCCUAAGCACCAAAACAAGUGAAAAAAGCACACCAAGCAUUGUCACUCCAGUGAUUAUAAUGAAGGGCAAUCUGUAGCAUUGCCCCCCACUGCAAUUUAACCCCUCCCCAAUCUUCCUCUCCAAUCCCAAAGCUCUCAGUUGCUUCUCUGCUUCCUUAUCAUAGAGAUACCCCGUCACCCUCACAUUGAUUAAAUAUGACCCAAGUGGGCAAGCCAUUACCCCAACAUUGUUCAACGUAGAGCAGUGCUUAAGCCCGAAAAUCUCAGAAGUGACCGAAAAUAUCAGUGGCCACUGUCCACCAAAGCAAAAGCCGAUGAUUAUCGAAGCCGCAUAGAGACCGUUUGGCACAUUGAAUGCAAUCAGAAGGUGACCAAUGCAUGAUAGCAAGAGGGAGAGAGUGAACAUGAGAGGUCUGGGAAAUUUGUACUUUGUGAUGAAGAUUUCUGAGAGCAUACCCACCAUUACUUCCCCUAGGUAAACCCAAAUGCUUGUGAGUGACACAAAUGUGCUUAUACUUCCCAAUGAGUAUCCCAAUGCAGUUCCAAUCUGACCCAAGUUGUCCAUCAUUGUUAACAUGCCGCCUAGGCCGCAUAGUGUUGUCAAGAACAACGCAAACAUUUCGAUGCUGAACACUGCUUGGAGUAUGGUGUAGUCCUCUCCUAUCUGUGGUGGACUAAAUAUAUGAUUCCAAUCCCAACAAGAAACUUUCCUGUCAUCACUAGGUGACACUAAUGAUACUGGGGAUGGAAUUAUACUCAGCUGGUUUUGGCCUGAUGAAUCGAUAUGUUCUGCGGUACUAAUCAGUCGACUGUUCCUCCAAAUAUUUUUCUCUUCGGCUACAACAACAGCGAGUGGGAGAAAGAGCAAGAAAAUUACUACAGCUGCACUCCCACUGUACUCACUUUGUGUGAAGUUGACUUGCUGCUCUACUAUGAUUAUUACCAACAAGAACAUGGCAAGUCCAAGUGAGAUAAAAAAGAAUUUAUGUAACACAUUGCGGUCAUUUUUGUUUGGUAUAACCGUCAUGAUUCUAAUGGUCCGGAGAAAUAUCAGAGAAAGAGUAGAAGGAAGCCAUGCGACGAACAAUGUGAAGGACUUAGUGUCAUCACCAUAGAGAGCAUGGUAUAGCUGCGCGAUUACUGCUGCACUUAGACCAAUGUAGCCAUUCAAAAGGCCUAACAAGAGUCCACGGCUUCUGGGGAAGUUCUUCACGCAGGUGACUAGAGCUCCGGUGUUGAUGAAAGUGUGCGAGUUUGCCCCCAUUGCUAUGUACGUGCACAUGUGCCAAACUUGGGGCUUGGCUAUUUUUUUGGUCACGGCAAGCCAAAUCAUGAAAUAGCCAAAGAAGUUGAAAGCUGCACCGAUCGAUAAGACCACCCAUGGGGGAGUCACCUCGUUGAUCAGCCCCGAAAAUAUGCCAAUGUUGGCCCCUAAGUCCUUGAAGAAGCUGAUGAGAUUGAGGGUCGUUUGGCUGUAACCGAGUGAGGACUUGAUGUCAUUUGAGUAGAGGCCGAACAUGUAGCUUGCACCAGCACUAGCCAUCAUUAGAAAUGAAGCAAACAACAUGAGCCACCUUCCUGUAAGAACUUGGAGGGUGAAAGCCUUCAUUUUUGUCCAACUACCCAUUCCUCUCGCCUAGAAGUACCUCUGUAGCAAAGCUUGCUUUUUAAGAGAAAUUAGAAUCUGUGAAACACAUGGCAUGAGCUUGCAGUAACUACAAGUCAAUAAUAUAUAAUCACUUAUAUUUGUGUAUACAAUUUAUAAUCAGAUAAAGUUUCGUUUUCAAAUUAAAUUGCGAAGGUCCUGAUAUAUAUUACAAAAAUCCAAUACUAACUAGACCAUACAAACAUCCGAAUUCCAGUGACUACAAGUCAAUAUCAACCAAAAUGGCAUGGCCACAUAAUCGUGGUGACUGAGAGACCACACACUAUUGUAGCUGCAUGUUAUUUGAUACCGAUCUUACAAAUUAAUAAAAGAUAAUUAACUUGUCGAAAUUUAUCAAAAUUAGACGUAAAAACUUGGGUCAUUCUCUUUCUAUCGAAACAAAAAAAAUAAAAUGAUCAUACUCAAUCUUAACUAGGCAUCUAAACUACAUACAGAUGUGUAAGGGUCAAGUGACAAGUCUUUUUGCACAUAUUUUUCAGUGUUGAGCUUAUGGUUCUUGAUGUAUGUAGAUUAUGGUUAAAGUGGUUCCAGACACCACAAAAUAGACUAAUUACAUGCAAAUACACUUUUGGAUACGAGAAAAAAGUGGAAGGAAUAUAGAGAGAGUGAAUUUACCCAACUUGUGAAGGCAACUUUCCGGUGGCAGCCGCUGCAAAGAUAUAUGUUCUGCUGCGGAGUAGGUGUCGGCUCCUUCUUCGACGGCAGCGUUGGGGAACGUAGUGGCAGCGGUUGCCUCAGGGCUCAGGCUCUUUGGAUAUUUGGGUUUCAGCUGUUUGAGCGAGUCGAGGUGGUGAUGAUGAUGAUGAAGAAUAAGAAUGAAGAAUGAAGACCAUACGUAGAAUAUAUAUACAAAGAUUAGCUACUCGAGUGCCGCUUUCUCUUUUGUUUUUGUUGUCUUUGCGUCUUGGGAGCAUGCGUGGAAUUUUUUUGAACCCUUGUCUCGGGGGCUGUAUCUAGUUGGAAGAGGUACCUAGGGACUCCACCCAUCACUCUUAAGACAUCAUCACUCGGCACUGUCACCAUGAUGAAAGUUUAUACACAAUCAUAUAUGAUUCCUCCAUAUACGAAUCUUCUUGUUGAAUAUGUUUUUCGUUUUAAUUUAGGAUGAUGUAGCAAUUCAUCUUAGUUUUUUUUUGAUGAUGUAGCAAUUCAUCUUAGUUACAUCGACGAACUAGUACAUGCAACACCCAUUCGGCUACUAUCUAGCUGAAGAUUGUUACUACCAAAAGACUAAUCUCUUGUCGUAUGCUUAGAAACUCCUAAACCCUCUCAAACCUAUUGCAUGGCCACAAACUUGUGAUGGUUCUGAUUUUUGUGUGGAGAAAAUCUUACGGCCCACGUGUCUUGUGUGACUCACUAGUCACACAGCGACACGUUGUUUUUUUUUUUUUUUGUCAGCAGCUCUUCUUCCCUCAUUCCUCUCUCUUCUCCGGCAAAACCGAUCCCCUCUAACGAAGCUUUUUCACAACUCUUCUUUUUCUUCUUUCUCCUUCUUCUUCUUCCUUCCUCCCUCUUCUUCUUCCUUCCUCUCUCUUGGUAGAGGCGUGAUUUGCACAGGUUGGUGGAGACGAGCUCGACGGCGGCAGGUUGUCAUCCAUAUGGUGGAGGCGGCGAUGGGGGUUCCAGGCGGCAGCUGGGCAGAGGGGCCUGCUAUGCUUUGAUCGGAGGGAUCGGGUUUCGCUAGAGAAGAGGGAGGAAGGGCCAGAGAAGAGGGAGGGAGGAAGGAAGAAGAGCUGCGAAAAAAAAAACACAUGUCGUUGUGCGACUGGUGGGUCACCCAGGACACGGGUGCGGCUGUCGAACGUAAAAUUUUCUCUUUUGUGUGACACCACACCUAUAGUCAAAGAAAUGAAAUAACACACUACAUCUAUUAUUCAAUCAAGCUUGCCAUCUUUGACCUACAACUUUACAUCAACUUCACUUUACAAGUCGAAACAGAUUUUUUUUUCUUUUUCCUUUCUGAAAGCGAAAUCAAUCAAAUUUCCAUAGUCGGGUUCUCGUAGAAACAAGAUAAAUACUCUACUCACAUUAGUCGAUGAAUGGAUUGCAAGCAGCGAUCAUCAGUUAAAGCUUGGCAAUAGCAGAACCAUACAAAUUGGAUCUUUCAGGAAGCUUCAACUCUUCCAAUUCUUCAUCAUCACUAUCCAACUUAGAGAAGUAGCGAUCAACCAUCUCGUCAGUGAUAUGCUCCAACUUAGAAGGCUCCCAUUUCGGGUUCUUAUCCUUGUCCAACAAUAUCGCUCUACAACCCUCCCCAAAGUCCUUACUGAUCUCCCCUCUCACAACAUGGCAAACCAUUCUUUGCUCACGAACAAGGCACUCGCCAACUCCUUGCAUCCUUCCUUCUCGAAUCGAUCUCAAUGUGAUCUUCAAACUUAUCGGUGACGCCUUUUUCAGGGAUGCAAUCGAUGAAGACAACCAGUGAUCACGAUCAUGUAUACCAGUUGUAGCAAGCUCCUUCUCAAGAGAACUUAAAAUUUCCUCCACUGUGCUCUUAGAAAAGCACUUGUCAAUAACAUCUAUUCUGUGACAAACGCUCUUCUCUUUCACAGCUGGUUGCUGUGAGUAUUCAUUAAUAAUGGCUGAAAUAUUAUCAACAAGAUCACUGCUCGAUAUAUUUGUGGAAGCAACUAGGGCUUCUUCUAACGAGGCUAAUUUGGCUGAGGGAACAAAGUGAGUUGCUAAACCACAAGCGAGCAUUUCAGGACCGUCCAAUCUAGCACCAGUAAGACCAAGAUAUUCUCCAAAGAAUCCAGGAAGCCUUGACAGAAAAUAAGAAGCACCCAAAUCGGGAAACAAUCCCAGAGCUGUUUCCGGCAAAGCAAACACCGAGUUCUCAGUUGCUACACGAAACCUGCCGUGUAUAGAAACUCCGGCGCCACCUCCCAUGACAAUUCCAUUGAGAAAUGAAACCUGGGGCGUAGUGUUUUUUGCUAUCAAGUAGCCUAGGGUAUACACCCUCUUACCUUGUCGCGCUCCAAAUCUCCAGUUGCCUUCGAAAAGAUGACGAGCCACCACCACCACAUCGCCGCCGGCGCAGAAUGCUCUUCCUUUGCCUUUGAGAAUGACCAGCUUGACAUUGGCGUCGUCCUCGUAGGCGUGGAACAGUUGGCACAGCCGAGACAUCAUUUCGUAGGAGAGAGCGUUCAGUUGUCGAGGCCUGUUCAGUGUUAAUAUCCUCGCAAACGAGUCCCGUUGUAUCAAGAUUUGAUCAUCCUGAUCCGAGUUGAUGAAAGAAGCCAUGGGAGAUAUGAUGUUACUGGAAAUGUGAAAAUGAUAGUAGUACUGAACAAAUAAUAGUAGUAUUGAUACUUUGAUAGUAUGAUUAGUAUCGCUGUAUCAGUCUUAAGAAGGCGUGCGCCUGGAUCUAUAAAAAACAAAUGACUCUCCCUAGACUUUGCUAGCUAGUUGACUACAUAUUGAGCACCAAACAUUCAAACAAUAUGAGAUGGAUCCAAUUUUACGCAAAAUAAUUAAUUAAAUUAAUUGAAGUUGGGAUAGUUAAUUACUUCCUUGACUAAUUACCCUCCCUCAAUCAAAGAACUAUAUUGACGGUUGAAACAUCUGUCAUUUUUCAAAAGAAAAUAAAUAUUAAAAGUACUAAAUAAUUUGUCUUAUGCAAGAGAUAUCACUCAACCUGGUCUGCACGGUAUCUUCAUUUUCAUAUUGAUGAAUCCACCAAUCAGCUAUUUCCGGUGAAGAACGGGAGUUUGCACUGGACCUAGCUAGAUACACGAAACGUGUGAAUAUAUACAAGACAUAUCCAGAGAGUGCAUUUCACCCAGAUUUUUUAAAUCUUAAAGCAGGAAAUUCAUGCACAUACAUAUUGUUGAAUCAGAUUUGAGAGAGAGAGAGAGAGAGAGAGAGAGAGAGAGAGAGAGAGAGAGAGAGAGAGAGAGAGNNNNNNNNNNNNNNNNNNNNGAGAGAGAGAGAGACAGUACCGGCCAUUAUACACACGAGGCGGCUGGUUAUUACAAAAAUCUCUAACUACAUAAACAUUUUGAUUGACUGAAAUCGAUCCUCGUAGUAAUUAUCAUAUAAAAUGGUCACUAGUUUUAUACGAAUGGAUGCAUAUACAGCAUCCCUAGUUCUCUACGUACAACGAGGCUGCUGGUUACAAGAAUCUGUACCUACAUACGAUUUUGAUCGAGCUAUGUCCUCCUAAUUAUCAUAUAAAAUGGUUACACUAACGUAACAAUGUUUUAUUGGUAUAAUUUAUGUAAAUGUGAAGAGUUUAUAUAAGGUAGCCAUGUUUUAUUAGUAUCGUUAAUUUAUUAGUUUGGCAGAUGCAAUGUCCCUAUUUUUCGUGGGAUUCAUAUCUUCUAUCAUAUUGACAUAUUAAAUGGGAAGAGAUUAUAUAAUGUAGCCAUGUUUUAUUAGUAUCUUUAAUUUAUUAGUUUGGCAGAUGCAAUGUCCCUAUUUUUCGUGGGAUUCAUAUCUUCUAUCAUAUUGACAUAUUAUCUGCCUUAACAGAAAAACAAACUAAUAUAUUAACUAUAAUGUCAUGAACAGAGCCAUUUUUUUUUAUCUUAAAGACAAUUUUGUCAUUAGUACUAAAGUAGAGGGACAAUACGAAUCGAUCCACUGCCAUGCGUACAGAAGACAAUCAAGAUCAUAUGAUUCGUAUGAGGGCUGUAUCCUCAUUACAAAUUUCGACUCACAAGGAGCCUAUAAUCUAAUAGCAAAUAGAUCAUAGGCUAAGAUCUCACCUAAAAAACUAUAAAAAUGCUAAAGAAAGAUAGACUCAUAACGCCAAGACGCCAUGAGGCACAAAAAAUGUUUAGGCGCAAAAGUGCUUAGAGUCCUAAUGAAAGGAACUUAUUGUACUAGAAAACUAUAAUCUAAAAAAGCAUCUAAAGCCCAAAAAGAAAUUAAACCUAAACCCGAAACAAUUAACCUAGCCCAACUUUCUUUCACAAUUACAGGAAGGACAUGGAAGAGGAACAUAUUAGCCGUCGCCGCAAUGAGAUGAGGUUGCCUUCGUGAGACGUCGCCGCAGUUGCCGCUGUGGGACAUUGCCGCCGCCUUGUUCCGUACAGCCACAAGCACACCCCAAGGAGAAGAAACUCCAUUGUCGCCACGAACUUAGAGACCAAAUAACAUCUCCACCAAACCAAAGCUCCUCUCAUGAAUAAACAAGGAUGGAGAUGGAAUCGGGAAGAUGAAACCAGAUCUGCUCCUCGAGUCCAUGGUGCCAUACCUCCAAACCGAUCUGAAAAGCCAUGCUAAUCAAAAGCUGUUAAGAAUCUCUAGCAAAUUACCUCUCAAAGCAUUUGGUUGCUAACAUAUCCUUCAUCCGACAACAAAGUCAUACGGUUUCAGUAGAUCUAGAGACCCGUCUAACGUUAGACCGUCGCCGGAUGAGGGUUGGAUUUCGUGGUUUGCGGCCGACUUAGAGAAUGAACAGAGCCAUAUGUUAUCUAUAAUGCUAACAAAUGAUUUCCUCUCUCAUGCUACCAAUGAGAUUUGGAAUAACCAACAUGCUAGAGCUAACCAAGAAAUUACGAACUCAUGCAUAUAUUAUUAUAUAUGGACAAAUGUGUUGUCUGUGAUGAUAAAAAAUUAAAUUUGAUGCCCUACUCCUAAUUAGUAACGUGCGCGCGCAUAUUUAUAUAUUUUGUUCAUCGAUGGCUAUAAUGAAAGGAUCAUGUAAAUGACACAGUCUAUAUAAGUACAAUCGUGUGGAAGAUUAAUCUCCGAGGUUUCUUUUAUCCUCCAUCAAACAAGUGCAUUUCUUUUGCUGGCUACAAAGUAGUCGAAUUUAGGUUGAAAUGUCUGCAGCAAAUACUAUGCUUGGAAACAAUUGUUCACUCUUGGAAAAGGUCACACGCCUAUUUGUUACUAGAUUUAUAAGACAAUAUACCUCCACAGGAUGUAUAAUGUGAGUAAUGUAUACUUAAUUUUGGUCCUAAUUGUUUGACAUCUAAUUCAUUACAUUCAUGUUUAUACUUAUUAUGCAUGCUCUGAACCUUUUUCUUCACUCUUUCUCUUCAUAAAGCUCAAGGAAUCAUAUCAGUAUUGAUCCAAAUAAACAUUUAGUAGGAUCAUUUGCAUUGCAUGUUUCUCUCUUGAUCAACACAAUUCGCCUGAUUUGUUGCGAGUAUAUACGAUCUUCAAGUGUGUGUGUGUGUAUAUCUUAUGCAGUAGUUAACCCAGUUCCACUCGAUCUAUCUCCAGCUGUUUCUGUUUGAGGCAAUCAUAUCCCUUAAUAUAUUGACUCUUACAAAUAAAGUUUUGUGCACUACUGUCUUGUAUACAGUUUAAUAGAGGAAGACGGCACAACGUUAACCUUUGAGGGAACGAGCAUCGGUAGUUCUUUGAAAUCUGUUCUUAAAGUUCACAAUCCUCAGUUUUACUGGAAGGUAAACCAUUCUCAUUUUGGAUUUUGGAAAUUAUAAUUCUGAAUUAUGUACGUACUACUUAAUCUCAAAAGUACGUUCUCUCUUUCAGGUAAUGACUCGGUCUGAUUUAGGCCUUGCAGAUGCUUAAAUAAAUGGAGAUUUUUCUUUCGAUGAUAAAGACAAAGGUCUUGAGAAUCUCUUUACGGUAAUAUCACUGAUCAUGAUUUUCGACUGCAUGCAAGAUUGUUUGUUCAGUUCGAAGAUUAAAUUCCGUUUUACUAACUUAUUCAGUUUCCAGAUUCUCAUUGCCAAUAGAGAUUCAAAUUCUUCCCUCUCAAAAAUGAGCAAGAAAAGGUGCAAUUAACAUAUGUUACUGUCGAUCAUAAACUUGAAUGGAGGUAUAUAUACCUAUUGGUCAUCAAAAUCAUUGUGUCAAGUACUUAAUUAACUGAAUGUUGCUUGUUACAGCGGUUGGUGGACGCCAUUGUUAUUCGCUGCCAGUAUGACCCCUGCACGAUAUUUCUUUCAUCAUAUUACAAGGCAAAACACACUUACACAGGCUCGGAGGAACAUCUCUCGCCAUUAUGACCUGGUAAACAAUUUACAUAAUGUACGUUUAAGGAUUAAUACAUGCAUGUCUAACAUAUGACAUGAGAUAACUCAGAAGCUCAUUCCAAUUUUGUGUGCGCUGACCUAGAGUAAUGAACUGUUUUCGUUGUACUUGGACGAAACGAUGACGUAUUCCACGGCUGUUUUUAAGGUUAGCAUCAUCAGCUUUCAACAUAUUGAUAGUAAAUUACACCAUUUACACAGCAUGAAGAAAGUAUAUAUUGUAAUUUAAGUAUACAGUUGCUCCUCGUUUUUGAAUCAUUCUGUACGUAGGAAGAAGAUGAAGAAUUGAAGAUUGCACAGCUGAGGAAAAUCAGCAUUUUAAUUGAAAAGGUGGUUUUAGUUAAUGUUUCUUUGAUAUAAAACACUUUGUCAAGAAUCCUGCAGUGCUCCAAGAUCUUGGUUAUUCCAAAACACUUCGACUUGUUGACAAACAUAUUUUUUUGUGUUCUUUUUUCUUAUGUGGGAUUCUUUUUAUUUUAAAUGCGGGACUGCUUAUUCUGGAACAAAUUUCUUUUAUCUGAGAUUUAAUUUUUUGUUCGUUUCUAUCUGUUUCAUUUAGGCUAAAAUUAAUAAGAACCAUGAAGUCCUAGAGAUUGGCUGUGGUUGGGGCAGCUUCGCUAUUGAAGUCGUCAAACAAACUGGUUGUAGAUACACUGGCAUCACUUUGUCUGAGGAACAAUUGAAAUUUGCCGAAAAAAAAGUGAAAGAUGCGGGCCUUCAGGUAUCAAACUAAAUAAUUAAUUUUCCAUUAGUAACAGCUCUCAGAAUUCAACUGAUAGAAGGAUUAUGAGAUUAAUAUAGACUCACUCACUGGAUUAUUGUAAUUUCAAUCAUAUAAUUGCAUGAUACCAGGACUACAUCAAGUUCCUGUUGUGUGACUACCGCAAACUGCCUCCAAACUCCACUUAUGACAGAGUCAUUUCUUGGUGAGUAUUGUCCCCGUUAAAUGUCAUCUAGGCAAUUCAAAUUACUGCCAAACAUACCUUGAUGUGUGGUGAAUUUAAUUUGCAGUGAGAUGCUAGAACACGUCGGCCACAAAUUUAUGGAGGAAUUCUUUGGUUGCUGUGAAUCUCUCCUAGCAGAAAAAGGACUUCUUGUUCUACAGGUAACAUCCAAUAUAUUAAUGUUACUGACCAUUCUCCACUUUGUUGGUUUGCAAGGUGGGAAAUUUGGUUGCCUAGCUACCUAACACUGCUAUGUUAAACUACAUUUAAAUCUUAUAAAUGUAAACAUCCAAUAUAAUAUAUAAGCUAAUGGUUUUGGGUGGUUGAUUUCUUUAGUUCACAUCAUUACCGGAUGAGCGUUAUGAUAAGUACAGGCAAAGCUCAGACUUCAUAAAUGAAUAUAUAUUUCCUGGUGCUUGUAUACCUUCAUUAAGUAGGGUAACAUCAGCCAUGGCUACUUCUUCAAAACUCAGGUAUAUAAUAUAUGACAUAAUUUUAUAGUCAGUAUUAUAUAACUGUAGUGCUUGUUGUUUUCACUUAUGGGCUUAUGGCCGGAACUUCUGUUACUGCAGUGUGGAACACUUGGAAAACAUUGGAAUUCAUUAUUAUCCAACGCUAAAAUGUUGGAAAAAAAUUUUCUUGGAAAACCAGAAGUAAGAGAUUGAUAUUCUUUCAAGUUCAAUUGUUUACAGAAGGCUAUGAUGUAAAAUUGUUAUACAUGUUGUUGAUGCUAUUGGUGGUGCAUUGUCUUUUGUGUUUAUAGCGAAAUACUAGCUCUUGGAUUCGAUGAAGAGUUCAUCCGGACAUGGGAGUAUUAUUUUGAUUAUUGUGCGGCAGGAUUCAACUCAUGCACACUUGGAAAUUACCAGGUUCAUUUCUUGCUUCUAACAACCUUACAUGUUCAUUACUAAUCAAAAUUGGUAAUUCCUGUGUUGUAUAUAUAUGUACCAAUUUUCUGUAAUUGACUAACGUACGGUUAACAAAUAGUCAUAUACCGGCUCUUGCAGAUUGUGUUUUCUCGUCCUGGUAAUGUUCCUGUAUUAGGCAACCCCUUCAAAGGCUUCCCUUCAGCAUAUUGAUUGUGUUGUCAAGUCCAUCUUCAGGACAAACUGUUGCUGAUUAAGAAAUGGUGCUAGAAAGUUAUUUUGUGUUAUGUUUGAUUGAAUAAGCCUUAUCACAUGAAAAGGUUUUGUCUUCAAUGUAAUUUGCUUUACCAUAUCACAGUCUCCUUGUAACAUAAUUCCCUUCUUUGAAAUAAAAAGUUUGAUAAUCUAGACAAUAUAUUUUGCAGAUUUUCCUUAAUUUUUUGCUAAUUAACAACCGUAGGUUUCUUGAACUGUAAGAAACUGCAGAUGCGAACUCCUAGUUUCCAGCAGUUCAAGAGUACAAAACCUUAUUAAGAAAAUUAAAAAUGGAGUUUUACACAUUGCAUGUUCAAAUGACAGCAUCACAAACCCUAAUCUCUAUAUGUGUUAACUUAUAUAUUUGUUUGAAGAAUGGUGCCGCUCUGUUGAGACUAUAUAUACUCCACAUGUGAAAAACUAGACUUAUUUGUGGAUUUAGGAGGAUUUGAGCCACUCGAUUCAUUACUAAUUUAUUUUAGAUGUGAACUAUAUAUUACUAUAUCUGCCCCUUGCACAUAUAGCUAUUGUACAGAUGCUAUAUAGUUGAUGUAUACCAAGUCCAACAUAGCUAUAGCAUAUUGCAAUUUGAAUUCAUGAACAUGCAUCAUAUAUUCACAAAUCCAUAAUAAUUAAAUUAGAUCGUGUUAUGUUACAUUUCACUAACUUGACAAAUGUUCAGUCCCACACAAAACAGAUCGAUACAUAUCAGUAGUCAGAAUAUGUAUUAAGAAACAAGCUAGGUAGCAUAGGAUUGGUUUACUAAACAAUUAACACUAGCCACCGUAAAAGAUUACAAUUAUCAUUACUUUAAAAGGAACACAAGCCACCAUCAAUAAUUCAAAUGAACAAAAAUUAACAAAUGCAAUUCCUUUGUCUUUGGUUAGGGUGUUAUUGUGCAACGGAGCUGUAUAAAUAAUGGUACAGCUAAUAAUGCAGAGAGAGAGAGAGAGAGAGAGAGAGAGAGAGAGAGAGAGAGAGAGAGAGAGAGAGAGANNNNNNNNNNNNNNNNNNNNGAGAGAGAGAGAUGGCAGCAGAUGAAGUAUGUCCUAUGAAAGGUGGGGAUGGCCCCAAUAGCUAUGCCAAGAACUCCACAUACCAGGUUCUUGAACGCUAACCUUUACUAGCUACGUAUAGAGUGAUAUCAUAAUAAUCAUCUCUGCUUCAAAUAAAUUAACUUCUUGUAUCGAGUUGUAGGAAAUUAUUGAUAAAAUGACCAUCAACUAAAUGCAACAUUCAAAUUUGCAGAAAGCAGCGGUGGAUGCUGCAAAAGAACUUGUAAGCAAGGCAAUUGCAGAAAAUCUUGACCUAGAAUUCUUGUUAGCUUCCAGCAGUACUUUUCAUAUUGCGGAUUUGGGUUGCUCUAUUGGACCAAAUACAUUUUGGGCAGUUGACAACAUUCUUGAAGCUGUGAAAUUGAAAAUUCAAGGGAUGAAAAAGUCUCCCAUGACCCUUGAAUUUCAAGUUUUCUUCAAUGAUCAUGCCCCUAAUGACUUCAACAUGCUCUUCAAAUCACUCCCUAUGAAUAGGCAAUAUUAUGCUGCUGGUGUGCCAGGUUCGUUCUAUGGUCGCAUUUUUCCUAAAAAUUCAUUUCACUUUGUUCACUCUCUACUGCCAUUCACUGGCUCUCUAGAGUGCCAAAAGCUGUAGUGGACAGAACCUCUCCUGCUUGGAAUAAAGGAAAAAUCCAAUUCUCUUAUUCCUCGGAUGAAGUUAUAAGGGCUUUUGAAGCUCAAUUUGCUGAGGACAUGGAGUGCUUCCUGAAUGCGAGGGCACAUGAAAUUGUGCAUGGAGGACUCAUGGCACUUAUUGUUCCAGGCCGACCCGAUGGUACCCCUCAUUCAAAAUCUUCACUGAAUGUGAUCUAUCACAUUUUAGGAUCUUGCCUCAUGGAAAUGGCAAGGAAGGUAAGCAAUUAACAAGUUCUCUAUCUCGAGGUUAAUUUGAUUUGUUUUAGGGUAUGCCAGAUCAUAUCUAUUUGUUUUCUGCAGGGAGUAGUUAGUGAAGAGAAAGCGGAUGGAUUUAACAUACCAAUGUACUACAUGUCUCCUCAAGAACUGAAAGCUACUGUAGAACUAAAUGGAAGUUUCACUAUAGAGUGUAUGGAAAACUUACCUCGUCUCUCCACAAUUGACGAUGUCACUGAAAGUGCCGAACUCGUUGCAUCUCAUGUUAGAGCUGUCACGGAGGGUCUCUUCCAGCAGCAAUUCGGAGACGAAAUCUUAGAUGAGCUCUAUGACUUGUAUCUUACCAAACUCGAAGAGCAGCCUUCCAUCUUUGACCCAACAAAGGCUAUUAACUUUCUUCUUGUGCUUAAACGCCAAGGCAAAUUGAUUUGAUCGAACAAGCUGUUUUGGAAUCAAUAUAUCGUUAAACGAUUUUUAAGUACUUAAUUCAUUGUCCAAAUUGCCAUCCCCUUGUAACAUUAUUCCUUUUUCUUAAAAUAUUAAUCCUAAUUAAGAAAGAGCAAGUAAAUCGCUAGGAACUUUUAGUCAAUAGGUGAUUGUGAGUACGUAACUUAAUUGGGCCAGUUAUUUACCUUAUAAAAUUAUGCAUGGUAUUGAACAAACAUUAAUAUGACACUAGAAUUACUAUACAUGUCACUAAAAGGGCAAAGGCAAAAUCAAAGCGAGGCAAAAUCUGAUUCAUACAGUUCUAGGGAAUAGUAUACUGCUAAUCAAGCUAGCUCAUAACACAUGCAUGUUCUUGCAUCCACAAGAGUUGAUCUCACUUGCAAAGGUCUAUAGUAAAUGAAAAAGAAAAAAAUUGACUCAGCAAUAAGCAAUUGCUUCCUUGUUGAUGGAAGCUUCACACAAGUCUUCUCCUUAUAGUAUAAUAUAAUGCUUCAGCUGGUUCAUAUAUUGCAUACCUGAUCGAUCUGGUUUUGGAUCGAUCACCUUCAAUAUUAAGCAUCUUGUCAAAUCAAAUAAGCUGUAGAUGGAUUCAUUAGUGGAAGGUGUUACCUACAAGGUUGCAACCGUUAUGCCCUUGGCUGCUGGCUUCCUUACCUUUGUGGCUGUGGAGUGCUUUGUUGAUCAAUUGGUCGCUCCAAUCAAAUUCACAGUUGGGCAGUACUUGGCCAAGUACCUUCUUGCCUGCAGUGGCCCUAUGGUCACCAAAUACUUGAACAUCUAGCUUGCUUACAUUCUCAGCUACAAGACCAACAUCGAGAAUCUGUUGAAGCAAGUGAAGAAGCUCAAGGCCGCAAGAGACAUGGUGCGGUGCGCCAAGCUGCCGAAGACGCCAAACAGAGGGGCCAAGUUGCAAUCAGAGCUGAAGUUGAGAAAUGGCUGACCAGUGUGGACAAGCUCACCGAAGAGGUGACCAAAUUCUUCGAGUACAAAGGUGAUGCCAACGACGGCUGGUUUCGUUGGUUCUAUGGUUUGUUGAUGUCGCGAUACCAGUUGAGCAAGAAGGCAAACAAGAUGAUAGAGCGUCUUGUUCAACUCCAGGCCGAUGGAGCCUUUCUAAUGAAUUAGUUAGUAACUUAGUAUAAGUUGCUUGUGAUUUUAACUUGUUUCUUCAGCACUUGUAUGUUUUGUAACAAUUGAAUGAUGUCUCUGUGUUUAUGAAAUAAUUUGCGUAUUGAUCGAUUUAAAAAAAAAAGAAGAAGAAGAAAAUAUCAUACAAGUUUGAUCUCCAUUAAUGGAGAUUAGGGCUUUGCCUUUCUCAUAAUUUUUUGCCAAAGGCUUUCUUUGAAUUUUCCUGAUGAAAUGCCAAUACUCCAUCUUAUGAGCAAGCACUCUCCUAACCAUUUAAUUUUUUCCAUUAUUGUCUUGUAUGCCUGCUCAAACAAUCUAAAAUCAUGAACUGCUGAAGUCGAUCGAGAUCUCAAUGCCCUUAAUGCAUGGCAGCCUUCCACUAGGCUCAGCUCAGCUUUGAUACUUCAUACUUGAAGGCACAUACUAAUGAUACUAAACAGCUCAUUUCUAUUUUCAGGUGUCUAGGCCUAAGCCCAAGGAUGAAGCAUUAGUUUUUCAAUUUUGAUAAUAAUAAUUGCAAAGUGCAAUGCUAAUUAGUCCUAAAUCUUUAAUUAGCUAGAGCAUUGACAUUUGUAGGAGGAACAAGGAUGAGACAAGAGCAGCAGAGUCUGAAACCCAAUCGGACUACAAAGUUGGAAGAGUAUUGAACUACUGAUCUAGCUUCCAAUGACCUGUCCUUGACAAUAUUUUACUUGGAACGUAUCCCAUCUGCUAGCUAGAUCGAAGCCAAAAUUCAAAUGAGUCGAACACUUGACAAUUGGCAUGAUUAUUAUAUCAGCCAAAGGGUCCUGCAAAUUAAUAACCAGAAACAUGCAUGCAUGUGGAGUUUUACACAAGACAACUAGACAAGGAUGGUGAAACCCCCAAUGAAAUGCAGAAAAAUUUGACAUCUCUAGCAGGGUUUCUGGUUUAAUUGCAAUUUUAAAGUUCCAGUAGGCUAUUGCAAUUGCAUUCAUUUAAGAAUGGGAUCCUUAAGAUCGAUGAGGAGGCAAAUGCAAACGACGGAUCCCUUAAUGGAUUCUCACUUAAUUUGGAGUUGAAACUUGUCGUAUUGCAUAGGAUGCCAAAUUUCCAAUGGGGAUAUCUUCUAAACUAGUUCCAAUUGGGGUGAGGUAGCCUAUUCCAAGACCGAGCAUUACUAUAAGGCCUCCUUGCAUAGAUCGAUAAUGCAAACUAAGAGUUCAAGCUUCUGUCAUGUUCCACAUAUCCAAACACAUAAACAUGAAAAACUCAGACCCAAUCAACAUUUCAUAAUUAAGAUACAAUCCGUAACUUAUUGCUUUGGUUGCUAUAAAAUAUCCAAGAUCUCAUUUCUAGUCUUUACCAUACUUGUUUUGUUUCUAUUAUUAAAAUUCAACAUUCAACAUCCACCUGCUUAAAAUUUUCAAUGGGGAAAGCAACAGUUUUGUAUAAGCCUAAUAAUGCACCGAAAUGAAACCAAAAAAGUCUCCAUCUUCAGAAAACUAUGAGCAAACCAGAUUUUGUCGACUUGCAGCUUAGCCAUGGUCAUCCUCUUACUUAGGGACCAUAAAGAAAUGGACAAAGGCUCUUCCAGUCAAUUUCAUAUCAGCAAUGCCCGCCGCUCUUUAUUUUUUUGAUACAAGUUGUAGAAAAAGAAGGCUAAACUGAAAUAUAUCGACAUUGAUGUAAAAAUCCCACACAAAUUUAAAAGAGAAAUUACACACUGAUCUGUAUAGUCUCCUUUUUCCUAAUUUCUAUACCUAUUUCAGGCGGUUUCAAAAAAAAAAAAAGAAGAAGAAGAAGAAGUACAUGUAUGCAUUCGUCUACGAUCUUCCAUUGGUUUGGUUAUGGCCAUUGGUGACACCAUUUCGUGCCAUGGCCAUUUCAGUCUCAGCAGCUUUAUCUGCCUCCUCUCGGAACUUCUUGUAUAUAUCACUCUGGUAAAACUUCCUUGUCCUCAUCACUAAAAUCAAUGAAACCAAUGCCCCAAAAAAUGUGGCAGCUGUGAUUAUAAUGAAGGACAACUUGAAGCACUCUCCACCAAGACAAGUCAACUCCUCGUCUUUAUUCCUCUCGAGCCCUUUGGCCACCAAUUGCUUCAUCGCCUCCUUAUCGUAUACAUGACCGGUGAGUUUCACGUUGAGCAAGUACAAGCCGACGGGACUCGCGGCUGAACCAAAAUUGUACAAAGUCGAGUAGUACUUGAGCCCGAAGAGCUCAGAAAUUAUGGCGAAGAGCAAAGGCCAUUGAGCGCCGAAGCAAAACCCUAUUAUGACCGAGGCUAGGUAGAGACCAUUUUUAACAUUGAAGGCAAUGAGGAGGUGACCAAAGCAAGAGACAAAGAGGGUUAGGGUUAGAAUGAGAGGACGAGGGAACUUGUAUCGUUUUAGUAAAAAUUCCGAGACGAAUCCGGCGACGACUCUACCGAGAUAAUUCCAUAUGCUGACCAGGCCGACGAAAGUUUUCCUGCUGCGUGUGGGAUAUCCCAACGAAGUGCCAAUCUGACCCAAGUUGUCAAUUGCUGUCAAUGUGCCCCCAACACCACAUAUGCACGCCAUGAAUAGUAUGAGCAUGUCAAUGCUGAAUAGGGCUUGAAGAAUAGUGUAGUCUUCUCCUCUAUUUGGUGGCCUAAAACAAGUUUUCCAACAAGAUUGGCUAGGUUGUUCCUCUGUGGACUCAGGAGUUUCAUAUGUGACCGGCUCCUUUGACACCUCUAAUUGUUCUUCCGUGGGAACGACUGGCUUUUCCGUCACUAUUUUGACGUCACCAUUCAUCUCGAGCUGUUUUCUCUCCCAAAGCUUGUACUCCUCGAUUACAACAACAACAACGGGAAGAGCGAGCAAGAAGAGCACCAUCGCCGUGCUGGCGCCGUACUCUUGUUGAGUAAAGUUCACCCUAUUCUCUACUAUGAUCAUGAUCAUCAGAAAUCCGGCGAGGCCGAGAGAGAUGUACAACAUGUUGUAGAACACCUGGACCUCGUUGCUUUGUCUAAUCACCUUCAUGAUCCUAAUAGUCCUCAGAAAAGCGAACGAGAUCGCCGCCGGAAGCCACCCGAUGAGCAGAAUCAAGGCCCUGGUGUCGUUGUAGUAGAAAGCAAAGUACAUCUGCGUGAUGAUAGCGCCACUGAGGCCGACGUAGCCCUUGAGAAGCCCUAAAACGACGCCGCGGCUCUCGGGGAAGUUCUUGACGCAGGUGACCAGCGAGCCAGUGUUGGCGAACGACUGAGAAUUGGCGCCGAUGCAAAUGUACAAGCACAUCUGCCAGACUUUUGGUCUCGCGAUUUUUUUGGUGACGGAGAGCCAGAUCAUUAGGUAUCCUAAGAAGUUGAGGACGGCGCCGACCAGCAGGACCACCCACGGCGGCGUGACCUCGUUGAGGAGGCCGGAGAGGAUGCCGACGUUGGAUCCAAAAUCUUUGAAGAAGCUGAGGAGGUUGAGUGUAGAUUGGUCGUAGGCUAGAGCUGUCUUGAUGUCGGGAGAGUAGAGGCCGAACAUGUAGGUGGCGCCGGCGGCGGACAUGAUUAAGAGACAUGCAAAGACCAUGAACCACCGGCCGUUGAGGACCUGGAGGGUCAGGCUUUUGGUGUCGGCCCAUCCUCGAGGACCGGAACCCGCCAUGGCUGGAUUGAUAUAUGUAUCUAGCUAGCUAGGUUGAACCAGAGAGAGCUGUAAGCAAACUUUGGUGUGGAGUAGAGAGAAAUGUAGGAGGAAUAUAUAGAGGAAGUCACACAAAGAGAGCAAGUGACAGAGAAAGAAGAAGAUAUAGUGUCACACCAAGACUUGGUUGACUACGUUUAUAAAUGGAGUAAAUGGGAGGAGUAAAUAACUGAGGAACAAGAUAGGAACGAUAAUCCGAUCCCCUAAUAUAUAUUUCAUCUUAUCCAGAGGAAAACUAAUGUGGGGAAAUUAAAGAGUGAAUUUCUUUAAUUUGGAAUCUUCAGCUUCAGCUGACAGUUAAGUGUUCCCUGCUCAUAUUACGCCACCAUUUUGGACAAAGUCUACUAUACGUACUUAUCCAAAAUGAAUAAAUAGAGAUUAAUUUUUUUUUUUUAAAAAGACGGAUAAAUAUCCUAGCACCAAAAUUUUGAUUAAAUAAAUAUUUAGAUACUUUCUUUCUAAAGAGCAUGUGCGGGUAUUUUUUUUAUAUUAAUAUUAUGGCUACUAUCAAUAUGUAAUAUUUCAUUUUUAUUACCUAAUAAAUAAAGUUCAUUAAUGUCAUUGAUUCACCCUUUAAAAUCUAAAAGGAAAGCUUCUUGAGUCUUCUUCUCUUGUGGAGGUUCUGGUAACCUAUAAAAGGAAAGCUGGACGUCCGAUUGGAAGUAAGAAGCCGCGACAAAACAAUAAGUCUGUCAUACCUCCGCAAAGCAUUCCUGUCACUUGGGAGGUUGGUACGUGCUCUUCUGAUAAGGGCAAAGGUAAGGCUUGAGCUGUUGGGUGUCCAAAUCCGGGGUGCCCAAAGUAGUUGGGCUUGGGUUCUUUUUGGGCCUGUGCUCGAUCCUUUGGGCCCCUAGGUUUGUUUGGUCCCGCAGUUUACCUAGCAUCUCAAUUUUAAUUUUUGAUAUUUAAUUCUUGGUAACUCUAGUUGUACACUAAUUGCGGUCUCUAAGCGACUAGUUUUACUUCCAAUGAAAGUUAGAUAGACACUUUGAAAUUCGGGUGUGUACGUAGGCAUAAUAAGUGAGCUUAUAUAUAUGCAGUGAGGGCUACCUAUCAGUUAGUCUGUUAGCUUGGGUUGAAUUCAAUAUUUGGCACAAGACGUUAGUUGAUGUAAGUGUUUUUUUGCCGUGGAUAAAUAAUAAAAUUAUUUAUUUAAAAAAAAAUCUAAAAGGAAAUAGAAAGGGUAGAAUUGAUAAUGCAAUAUUAUGAUUUAGAAAAAUAUAUUAUAUGGAAUUGAAAAUAAAUAUUUUUAUUUAUAUGACAUAAUAUAUAAGAUUAAAGCCACAAAUUUUAGGUCUCACCCCCUCAUAAUAUCAACGCCCUUAUUAUGUAUGACUCAAUAACUUAUUACUUUCUCACCUUUUUUUUUUCUUUGAUACGUACGUAGUUUUCUUGAAUUUCUUCCAAUACAUCAACAUGAUUAAUUCGUUUUUAUUGUUUUGGAUGAAGGUUUAACCAAGAUAACUACAAAGCCUAAGGAGCUGGGGUCCAUGCAUCUCGCCUUAUUCUAAAGGGUAGGAAGUGGCUGUUGAAGAUGCUCGAGGAGGAUGGUUUGCUAGAGGAGGUAAAUCCCUCUACUGAUUCUUCAGAAGCAAUGGAAGUGGUUGGCAAAGAGGUAACUCUGCCUCCAAAGAAGAAGCUUUCAACUGAAGUUGCUACAGUACAUGGAGAUGAAAAAGGCGGUAGUUAAAGUGGUGAACUCCACUUCGAUUAUUACAUCUGCUUGAUCGGGAGAUCGACAAGAAAAAUAAGAAUUAUGUUGACACAGUUUAUAACACUUCGGAGUUUUUAAUCUCUUUGUUUUUGGUUUUAUCUUCGUAGAAGGUGAGUGUAUUUGGAUUUAGCUAGGAUAGUUUGUGUGAGAAGCGUAUUAUGGGCAUGUCGUUAUUUGUAUUGUUUAUUGAGAUUCAUUAAUGAAUAACCUCUCUUUACCAAAAAAAAAAAAAAACGUCACAACAAUGGAAUCACGAGCGAGUUAAUUGGAGCAUCAGAUCGUACUUUUCUAUCAUCUAUGAUCACUCACAAUAUCAAAUUCCACAACGUUGAAAUUUCAUAAGAAAUGGGAACUUGUAGUACGUGUCUCUACGUACUUGCCUCAUAUGGUUACUUGCCCCUACUUGCUUUCUCUCAACAAAUAUUGUCAUACUAGUCCUCUCUUUUUUCUUUUUUUUUAUCACGUUUGAAUAUCCAGCAUUUAACCGUCCAAAAAUAAAAAUAAUCUUAAAAAUUUAUUAAGUACGUUUUAUCUAAAUUAAGUGUCUUUCUAGUAACUUUCGUUGAUGAUGAGAUUGAAUAUUAACAUGCACUCUAUGAUCACAUCUUGCUGAUUCAAGUGAAAAAUUUAGUAAAUCAACAAUCUGUUCGAUCGGUUAUAAUUAGUACUACAUAAAACAACAGUGAUUGAUUCGAUAAUAAAUCCCCUUAUCUUGAUGCCUUAUACAUAAGAAAUAAUUGGAGUAGUAGUUUAAUAUAUGAAUUCGUCAAUGUAGGUGCUGGAUAUUUCUCUAGAGCAGUUCGCAAAUGGUGAUGCAUGCUUGACGCGGAGCUAGCUCGAUCGCAAGUAGCUGGGAACACAAUACUGGAAUUUUCAAAGUCAUGCAGUAGCUUUGACUAUGAAGAUCAUGACUGAUGGAUCCGAUCGCCCCUCAUAAUAUCAGCAAUUUAUUCAUUUGUGUAAUACAAAGUCGGUCGGAAAUGUCUGGUACAAGAGCAAUCAAUAGCUUUGAGGAAAUAGUACAUCUUCAAAUAUGUGGCUAAGCCCUGCCCAUUGAUUUCUGAUCGAUUGUUCAUACGGAUGUCGAUCGAUGACAAUAUGUUGAGUGGCUAUAUAUUAAUUAGUGUUGUCUUGUUAAUUACCAAUUUUGUUCUUCUUCAAAUCAUCGUAAGAUAAAGUAUCUCGCUGGAUCAUUAUCGACAAAAUAUAAAGUCUUUAAUAUAUAAAGAGUAUUAGUUUGUUAAAUCUAUAUGUCAGUUCAAAUAUUGGUGAACAACAACAGAUCGACAACUAGAUCAUGAUCGAUCACGCUAGUUGGAUAUCAGAGUUUCGAAUGUGUGAUUCCCUUAAUUAAAAUCUUGCGAGAGUGCAAAGUACCUGAAACUCUGGUCACAUUUGUUUCGCCUUCCUUUCAUUCUUUCCAUCGUUCAUACAUUAAUCUUAUCAAUUUGUGCUCCACUACCCAACAAACAAUACAGCCUUCGUGUUUGUGUGCCUGGUAAUAUAUAAUGAAGAACUACAAUGCAUGUAUACACGGAUAUCGGAACUCCAAAUGAUCCUAAAUGAUUAAUUUUUUGCCAUCAUUUGUAAGGUCUUUAUCAUAUCGUGCGUGAUUGAAAGUCGUAUAUAUUCCCCCAAUUAGGGUUUGGAGUUAGCAAUUUAAAUUUAAAGAAAGAACAUUAGUUUGCAUCAAUACCAUUUAGUCUAGUGGUAUUAGUCUUCUAUUUGUAAGUAUGAGGUGCUAGACUCAUUGUAGCAUUUCAGUUAUUUGUUUGAUAAAAGAAAAAACAUUAGUUAAUUAAUCUAUAAUUAAUUUGGAGUUGAUUAAUCAAGAAUAAUUCAUGAUUUUAAUAAAUAAAUAUUUAAAUUCCUCUCUAACUUUAUGUAUCAAAUUUGAACGUUGGGAUAUGCCAUCACCUUGCUUGUACCAAACAAUCUUCUAUCUUAGUUUUAGUCAUUGCCAAACUCUGUCAGGUGUUAAUAAGGGAAUCAGAUCCUACGCCAUUCCCAUAUUAUAACCUUGAUCUGAUCAAAAACUCAAAUGUGAUCCAUUUUAAUAUGAAAUUCACACCCUGUCCCAUGUGUAACUCAUAAGUGCUCUUGCAAUAUAUUCGUGAAAAAUAACGACUUCAUGUUAUAUAUAUAUAUAUUGACCUAUCGCUACCUAGUGUGUAAGUUGUAUAGCAAUUAGCAUUUCAUUCUUUAAUUAUAAAUCAUUAAUUGGUCACUUUCUUCGAAAUUGGCAAUGGCAUUUCUAUUUGCUUAAUUGCUUGCUAUGUGAACUAAUCCUUAUCAUGCAUAGUGUGAUUAGCUAAUUAAAUAAAGAGUGCAUUGUUAAUUACAAUAACUGAUAAGCCAGCUUCAUAAGAAACAAAGUAUGAAUGAUAAGCUUUCAAUCAGUAUCAUUAACGUCUUAAAAGAAUGCGUUAGAUUGGAUUCUUAUGUUUUUGAUAUCGUUUAUUCAAACUUGCUGAAGGGCCAGCCUUUGCCGCACAGAUCGAACUUCUUCUAAUUGUAUUCUAAUUAGUUGAUUAGUCGUCUAUAGAUGUUCAUGUCAAAUUCGUAUAUACCUGAUAUGAACGCUCACAAUUGACCAGUUUGUUUCGUAAUCCAUUUUGUUAAGCUUAUUAGCACACACUCGAGUGAGGCAUCCAAAAUCUAUUUUCUUUAAUUUCCUUGCUCAAGUACGUAGACGAUUUGAUAUACUCCAAAUUACUCCAAUUAGUUUGUAACAGACUGUGGUCAAUGAAAUUCGCGUUUUUGGACAUUUGUAGUGAAAUUUUAGUUUUUUUCAUUCUUAUUUUACCAAACAAUGUGUCAUUCUCAAAUGACUUAUCUAAUAGUACUCACUAAUUGUUAGAUACUAUUGUAUUUGAAAAUACGAUUCUCGAUCAUUCACAAUUUGACAACUCAACAUAUGAACCGUAAGUAUAUACUCUUUUGUACUACUAACCCGACCUCGUUAAAUACUAGUUAUAUACCCGAACACAUGCUUGUAAGUGUGACGACUUUUUCGAUCGGUCCAGUCAGUACGUAGCCCUCAUAAGUUGUCAUUUACGAACAAAGCAUAGUUGAAUAUUGAGCAGACUACCCGUCACCAAUUUCUCAUACCAUAUUUGAUAUAUCCAUCCAUACAAGCCAAACCAGAGAAUUCAUACCGGUGAAAGCUACAACAUUACCUAUUCUAUACAUGGAAUCAUAUAUAGUACUAUUUUCCUCAGUACUCAUUCGUUUGGGGUCAAUGCCGCUGUUCAUACGCAAAGAGCAGCCACACGUAUACUUGCACAGAAACUUUGGAUAGAGGUUUGGUAUUCUUCUCGAGCUUGAUAUGUUGACGAUUCGAAAGAAGCGAAAGAUUUCCUGGUUGCUCUCUGUCUAUUUAUAUAAGAUCAACUCAGCUGGCUAGUCAACUCCCUUGAACAUCCGGCAUUGUAGUUUUCUGUGCUUUUGGAAAUAUGUUGAACUGAGCCACAAAGCGAUUCUGAUCUCUCUGUUUUUCGCCUUCGUAAAGUAGGCAGAGACCAAGUGUUUACACAGUGAAAGGGAAGAAAGAAAAGUCUUAAACCACAUGUUUAUGAUUCUAAUUAACUUAAUCUAUAAUCUUCAAAAUUCUGGAGCUAGACAGAUUCGCUUCCUUGUAUGCAGUUCUUUUGUUUUUGUUUUCCGAUAGUGGGUGUCAUUUCCAGCACUGAAAGGUUCUAGUUGAUGACAUCUUAAUCCAGAUCAUCAGAUUAUGUUUCUUUCAUAGAUAGAACUUAGAAGCUUCAUAUUUGACUUUGGAAAUAGGCCCUAAAAGAGCCUCAAUUUCAGACUUCGCUAGUCUUCUGGUUUUACUUGUAAAGUAGAAAGCUGCUUGAUGCUUUUCUCAGAUUCCUCUCCUAGCCGCAACAGUGACUGGGAAUUUUGACCCAUCUUGGAAUACAGAGCCCCUUGCGAAGCAGCUCCGCUCAUGAGUCCUUUCAUCCAUCUCGAAGACUCAAGAGAGAUAACUAGUCUGAAAAGAUCUAUCAUUAACAAGUUCACAAUCCCAUUGAGACAUUCCACAUGGAACUCAACAAACUUGUAUACUAGCUCUGCGGUAAGAACACGAGGGGAGAUAAUCUGGCCAAACAAUGAGUGUGGACUUUGUUAUGGUUUGGUAUCCCACAGUAGAACCAUCCAGCACGACUGAGUUAAGAAACAAAGUAAUGUUUGGACUCAAAGCACGUACUGCAGAGAGCCACAUAUGUUCCAAUAACUCCGUUUCAUCACAGUAUGCUUACACAAGGUCUAGAGACUUAUAGUUGGGGGUAUAGAAUUUCUACUACCAAAAAGACUAAAGAGAUGAAAAGAUGAACACAAACAAAUACUAAUUUUCAACAACAGGUCUAUUUUUCCAAUUAGAAUUACCCUAAUCUCUCAUGUUCCUUUAUUUCUUUGUCAACAAAAGAAUUAAAGGAUAGAAAGAGAGAGGGUUACAAGUAAUACUCAAACAAGUAACUAGUAAACGAUAGUAAUGCAUAAAAGUCCUCCUACGCAAAUUUACUUUCAACAUCCCACAGCAAGAAUCUAAAAAUCGUACACAUAACAGCUACAAGUUCAAUGAAAACUGACAAUCCCACUUUUAGACAUUAGUAGCGGUCAAAAGAAGAUGGGCGGCCUCCCCUGCUAGGGCGGUCGUAAGGGCCAGCCCUGCUACGGUAACCUCCCUCAUCUCUUGCUGGACCUCCUCUUCCAUAUCUAUCACUGCCACCUCUCACUCCACCAUCCCUGUCAUAGCCUCUGUCUUUUCCAUAGCCAUUUUGGGGGUAACGAUCAGAACCACCAUAUCUGUCACUAGCGAAACGAUCACCAGCUGGGUACCUGGAGAGAAUAAGUGCAGAAAGUACAGCAUAAGUGCAACUGUAUAAUUAAUUUUUUUUUUUCUCCCAUCACAUGUACAUAAAACAAAAUGUUUUAUUUAAGCAUUAAAGAAUAUAAAAGGGGGUCUGAAUGCACGCAACUCAAGUCUAUAAGCUAUAACCAUACAUAACGACAGAAUGGAACAAGUAGUGGAGAAGUAAUUGAUACCUGUCACUGACAUAGCGAUCACGGCUCCCAUAUUUGUCCUCCCUGCUGUCAAAACGAUCCCUAUCUCCAUAGCGCCCUCCAUCAUAACGGUCAUCCAUGUAGCGAUCAUGAUCUCCACCAAAGCGAUCCACACGCCCACCUCCCCCAAACCUAGAAUGUGAAGAGAAUGAACCUCCCCCUCCACCUCUUCCACCACCAGCAGAUGGGCAGUCUCGAGCCCAAUGUCCUGUACGCCCACACUUGAAGCAUUCAUCUUGGCCCACAGAUCUAUCACCACCUCCUCCAUAGCUUCUCCUGCCACCAGAAGAGUAUCCUCCCCCUCCUCCUCCUCCUCUAUAGCCAUGAUCAGAAUCUUCACCUCCCAUCCUGGGUUGGGCUUUGUUCACAGAGAUAGUGCGGGAACCCAAUUCCUGUCCAUGCAUCUCCCGGAUUGCAUCUUCCAUUGCUCGUCGAUCUCCAAAUGUGAUAAAACCAAAACCACGAGGACGCUUUGUAUCUCUUUCCAGCAUGAUCUGCAGAAAUUCUACAUUAGAGUGAUCAUACCCAGCGUCUACAUAAACAAAAAAAUUAGAGUGAUUUCUUCUCAACACAAUGAUACUUGCAAGAUUUGCAAGUUAGACAGAAAGAGCAUCAAACAACAAAAAUUAAGGAUGCAUUGCAUUAGACAUGUAUGACUCCACCACUCGGAAAAUUAAGGAUUCAUUGCAUUAUAAUAUGCAUUAUAAUUGCAUUCUACUAAUUCGAAGUAUCAAUAUGUAUAAUGUGAUACCACUGAACUGACAAAUGUGUUUCAAAGCAUGAUAAAUAAUGAGAAUACAAUUCAUAUAAUAUAUAAAUAGGAUAGAACAUUGCAAGUAGGGCAUGAUCCGGUUUAACUGAGAAUCUGAGAUUAACAAGCAAUUGAAACUAAACCCACACCGUAAACACACAUCUAAGAGAGGACAGGCAUUAUAAAUUAGACCAAUCAAGCAAUGAGUGAUUCAGAAUAUAUUUUAUCGUGCGAGUGACUAACUAAAGAACAAUAAAAUUGGAGACGCAAUAGGGAUUGUACCUAAAAUACGUUUUGCAACAAUCUAACUGGUAAUUAAAAAUGAGUUUAUACUUACUUUCCUUUUAUAAAUAUGGAUAACAGAGCACCAUUUCAUACUGGAAUAUUUCUGAUACUAGAAGAAUCCACAUCUGACAACAGAUGACCACUGACCUCGAAUUCCCACAACAUCAAAUGUACUGGUUCCAGCAUAAACUGUUCCAGCAUAAAUGCAUAUAGUCUCUACGCCCAGAACACUAUCACUUACACCAGCAGUUACAUCGACACCCCAAACAUCUGUCUUGUAGUCACAAAACCAAUAUUCUUCUGGCAAAGCUACACAGAUCAGCCAGAAAAAGGCAGCUCUUGCAGCAGUUGAUCUUUAAACUAUUCAAAAUUAACAACUUAUAAAUACAUCUAGUUACCCACGGCAGACAUCUCUACUCUGCAUACUAUGACCAACGUGUUCCAUAACUACAUGGCUCCAUCAGUCUUUCAACAAGUCAGAAACAGUAACCAAAACAUUCAUAAACAAGCAAGAUACUCUGUCCAAGAUAAUGCUGAUUCUCUUUCCAUCAACUAACCCUGAUAUAGUCAACACCUGAAAUCAUAUUUGUGUUUCUGGCUUUUUUGAUUUUUAGGAAAAUCCUACAAUUUUUAGUACUAUCAAAAAUUCGAACCCUCAGGUAUUAAGGAGUCUUAAAUCAAAGUUUCAACUAUAAAUACGCUAGAAACCAUCGAUAGAUAGUGAAGCAGUGAUGUUGCUGAGCUCAGACUUGUCCACACAAUAUGAUAAUCAAACAGAAUACUCCUUCUGACACUUUCAAAAGUGAAACUGAUCUGAAUGAUGACUCAAAAGACCAACAGACUGCAUUGCAAAAACGUGGUCAUAUGUGAACUUGCCAGACUGACAGUGUUGGAAGCCCCAGUGCUAAUGUCAAAAAAACUCUACAAGGUCUAGAUGAUCUUCAUUCCCCGCUAAACCAGCAUAAAUAGCUUAAUCAUCACAACAAAACAAUAAUAGCAGAUAAUAAGCAGUUCAAACAAAGUUCAAGUGCAAGGCUCAAAAGCAGCCCUAACUUCAAGUGUGCUCCUCAUUAGCAGAUGAGAGGAACCCAUUGUCAGCCAGAAACAGUUUAGAGUCACUAACCCAGACUAACCCCUCAAGCAUGAACUAACUAAAUCUGACACUUUGGAACCUCACCCAAUCAGUCAUCAGAAGUCUACUAUAUCUGAACAAAAAGUUAGCAAGAGACGACAAAAGCUUUGCGAUAUAGUAGCCACUAAGAAUCUGCCCACAUAACAGAUGAUUGAGUUGAAGUAGAUGACCCUCUGAAUUCUAUGAGAGCAGAAACAUGUGACAUGAAGGAGGAGGAGAAAUUAUCCGGCUCAAAGAUCUCUCAGAAGACAGACACAACCUUCACCGUCAUGUUUUGAAUCAAACCAACCAAAAAUAUUGGCAAGCUGAUAGAUAUAUGGGCCUUUGUUCUACUUAGAAAAAUAAAAUAAAAAAACUUCUUGCAGCAAAAGAACCAAAUCACUGGUUCAAGCAACAACCAUCUGAGGCUUCAGCACUCGAUGAAAAGAACCCAAAAACAGAAAGCAUAACUUCAGAGCAAGAAACUUCUCAUAUUUGACAUGUCAUCUGACUUGUCAUUUAGUCGUUUGAUCCUCUAAGCAAUACUUAUGGUCCAACUUCCCAACAUUACCACAGGACUUUCUUGUGGAACUCGCAUCUCUUCCAAGAGAUUAAACCUAAAAUUAGCUGCCUUGAACCAAACUCCACAAAUCGCGAGACCAUCUGCUAAUGUUUCUAUUUCCUGUCUUGAGAUCUGUAGUCCCAGCAGCUAUAAUCUACUACCAAAAACGACACACAGUCUGCAAACUCGAUGCGACCACUUAACAAAAACAGCUCUACGAAAUAUCCAUCAAUGCACGGCAUCAAAAGAUCAUAACUCCACAGAACAAGAAAACAAAAGAGCAUUAAUAUACAAAGAUAACAGCAAAGUAAAAUAAAGUAUCGUACAGAGAAUCAUCAAAACAGUAUCAAACACAUCUAUACAAUCUAUGUAGUGUACUAUAUCCAUACAAUCUCACUGCUCAAGAUCCCGAUACUACAACACCUUGCGUUUUGAACAGUAAAUUCACCAAAAUCAAAUCAAAAUUAAGCAUUUUACACUCCGAAAACCUUUGCAAGUCUCAAAUUUCAUUCCAACUUUAAAACCGAAAAUGUCAAAUUUUCUUUUUUGUUUCACAAAAUAGCACCGAAAUUCUCAAUCAAAGAAUCUAGCAGCAGAUCAAACGAGAGCCUCCAACUGAUUAACACAACCAAUCUUGAACCUUCUUUUACUAAAAUCCCUAAAUCGAACCCCGAAUUUCAGAAAGAAAUUUCAAAACCAGCAAAAAUUUUUCAUAAAGUUUUCAAGCAAAAGCAAAGAAGCUUCAACCUAUAAAGCGCAAGGCACACAAUUACAAGCGUCGGAGAACGAAUUGGGGGUUACCUGCGCUUCAUGGACUUUGCCAAAGCGAGCGAAGGCGCUCUCGAGCUCAUGCUCUGUGACUUCAUAGGCUAAACCUCCGACGAAGAUUCGGUACUCUUCUCUCCCGGCCAUCUCUCUCUUUCUCUCUUUCACUCUGUGUAUUUUGGUUUGUACCCAAACCCUAACCGCUUCGGCUUCUCUUUCUAUUGCCUCAGUCUUGCUUUGAAUUUCUUUUUCCCCUUUUCUUUUUCUAUUUAUUUACUUUGUAAAUUAGGAUAGGCCCCAAUUUUUGAGGUCCUUUUCACUUUAGUCCUCCAACUUUUGUUUUUUUUCUUUAGUGCUCCAAAAUAUUGUAAUUUUGUAGUAAGAGUUGUUAGAUUAGAUUUGAAUGAGACAUACAACUAAAUAUGACUAAUUUAAUGACUCAAUUAUAUAGUUUUAAUACUUCGGAGCACUGUGUAAUGUAAAGAAAAUCUCCAAAGCAACUAUAAAUCCCUCUAGAAUUUUGUGUCUUUUUGUAGAGAAUUGUAGUCUAAUAGUAAUUUUCUCUUCUCCAUCUUUGAUGUCAGGUCAAGUGACAAGUGUCGAGUUCGAAUCUCAGGGCGAAGCAAAGACAAGAAAGAGAAAAAAGAACUGAUCGAUCUUGAUUCAUUAUAGCAUUGGAGGAUGAAACAAUUGCAAAUAGUUACAGCUGUGAAAGAAUUACAUCAAUGGACAUACAUAAUUUACAGGGCUGUACAUGAAAUGGCACAGGUAUCAACAAGUGAUUGAAGUGUGAUCAACUUUCAGGCUUUUCAUCCCUACUUCUAUUGUUCUGAUAAAAGGGGGAGCCUAGUAACACUGCUACCACCACCCCCACCAGUUAGUGAUUUAGAGUUGGUCGAUUUUAUAGAACCGGAUUUUACAGGUUUUGAUGAACUCUUCUUGUUUAUCCUCAUGGGAAGAAUCUGCAACCUCGGAUUGCGCUUAGUGCCUGAAUUUUCAGCUGCCAACUGAUAACUUUCCACCAGUUCCAGCUGUCUAGCAAUUAUUUCGGAGCAUCUUGGAAGGAGCUCUACUGCCUCUCCACCAGGAAUUACAAUAUACUCGAUUGCAAGUCGAACCUCCUGACACAAACAAAAGGAAAUAUGUGGUACCAUUAAGCAGAUGAUAUAUGCUGACAGAUUCAAAAUCAGAAAUACUGAAAGCAAAUGUGGAGUUGCAUAGCGUACAACAGAGAGGACAAUUUCUCAGAAACUGCCGGUAGAGGUAUCCAUAGAAAAUACGUGGGAUGGGAAAGGAAAUGCACCUCCAAUGCAUCGAUCUCUUCUAAAGAUGGUUUUCUUUUGGGUGCAUCAUCUUCAAUUUCAAUGUCAAAGGAAUUAUUGACAAGCUGCUUUGGCAAAGAGCCAACUGAUUCCAUUUCAAGAAUCAUACGAACUGCCUUCACGAUUUGAGCCAUGGUAUUUGACUGCAAGAUAAACAUCAAAUAUGUGAGUGAGCCCCAGCAAGAUUACAGGCAUAUACAGAUACAAUACAUAGACACAGAAAGUCUAAACGGACAUUACCUUCAUGACAAAUACAGGCAACUGGUGAAAUUUUGCUACACUACGGAUCCAUGGGUUUUGCUUCAUUUCAGCACUUGAUGCUAUAAUUGCAUCUGCUGUUCCAAUAUCAUCAGAUACCUCAAUUUCAUCCUCAAGCCCCAUUACCUUUGCUACUUGCAGUAGGUCAGCUUCAAGGAUCUGCAAACAAACAAAAAUGAAGGGUCAAUUGAGAUCAUCUGCCUAGUCAGCAACUAUUGACAAUACAAGUUCUUAGGGGUUUUGGUCAAAUUACAUCCUUCAUGGGUGUAGAUUUCCAAUUAAAGCAGAAAGUGAACCAUGUGGAAACCAAGUAUUUUACCUUGUAUGUAUAUAUACACACUGGUGAACUUCUCUUCUUCGCAGAUUUAUCACUGCUCAAUCUUCUAGACACAUUGGGUGGAGGAUCUAGAUCUUCCUCGUCAGACUCCAAAACACUAGCAACUAUGUCUGUAGUAACAACAAAAUCUGAUGCUUUCAGAUAGUUGUGUUCAGAGAUUUGAGUAGGCAUGCAAGAGUCAUCAGCAUCAGCAUCAAUACGACGAACUUCAAACAAAGGAGAUUUCCCUAUAAGCCAGAAACCUUCAUAUCAGAUUAGGUGUUCCCUUACAACUACUCAAGUAAUAAGUACAGAUUCUAAAGGAGAAAAUGUGAAGUACCAGCUAGUAUAGCAUCAACUGUUGCAUCUAAUCUGUGAUGAACACGAAAUUCUGUUUUAGAUAUGAUCUCAACAGCACAUGUAAAUGUAGGAGGCCCCUUUCUUUCAAGAAUUGUCUUUUGAACUUUCCUCUUUCUCGCUUCUUCAUCUCCCAGGGUCACACUCUGCAAUUUACAUGAAGAAUUCCUUUAAUCUAUCAACAUUUCUUAUCCGGGAACUGCUUAAAUGGUAAUACCAAUAAUGAAUGAUCAUUGCACUGGAAAGGAUAAUUCAUACAAUAUGGCACCUUGCAGAAUUAAUGCCACUUUGUAUACCCUCUUUUAUUUGGUUAAUCACUUUGUACACUUACAAAAUGAUAAACUUGAUGCAUACCAGAAACACAAUUGAAAAAUGUAUAUAACUCCAAUUUGAAUGAAUAUAGAGUGGAUGGCAUUGUACCUCUAUGCCACCAACAAGGAUUUGUAAAGAAGGAUUCUUUAUGAUGUUGUCUAUUGUCAUUCCAUGUGCAGUUCCAACUAGUUGAACUCCUCUUUGGGCAAUAGUGCUGGCAGCCAAUGCUUCAAGCUCUGUCCCAAUUUCAUCUAUUAUAAUGGUUUGAGGCAUAUGAUUUUCAACUGCUUCAAUCAUAAUCUGCACAAAAGGAAAGGGCAAAAGAGAUUAUACAACCAAAUGAGUUGCAAAAGCGUAAUACUACUGGGGAACUAAAGCAACAGUGACAGAAAUGAGCCCUAUAAUCAAUGUCAACACUCACAUUAUGCUGCAUGUUGACAUUAGGAACUUGCAUCCUCCUUGCACGGCCUAUUCCUGCAUGCGGAACAUCUCCAUCUCCUCCAAUCUCAUUAGAUGUAUCCACUAUUACCACACGCUUCAUAUGCUCAUCUGCCAACAUUCUAGCAAUUUCUCUGCACCAACAACACAUCCAAACAAAAUUCAGAACAUCUUCGCUCUUUGAUUCCAGGUCACAGUAGGAAAACAUCAAAGUAGUACAUAUACCUGAUCAAGGUCGUCUUGCCAACUCCGGGAGGUCCUAUCACCAAGAUUGAACCUCCACCCUCAACCAAGUCGCGGAUGACCUCGGCACUCCCUGACACCGCUCUCCCCACCCGGCAAGUAAGUCCAAUGAUUUGCAGCUUUCGGUUUCGAAUAGCACUAAUACGAUGUAACGAGUUAUUAAUUCCAGAACGGUUAUCAUCCGAAAACUCACUAACCUGCAAACAAAACAAAAUUUCCAAAAUCGAAUAAGAAAACAUACCAAAAAAAAUAGUUCCAUCUUCAUCAAUCAACUUCUAAGUAAGCAUAUAAAAAGUUGCAGUCUUGUUUAAAUUGUUUAAAUAAAGUGAUUAGUUACCUACUAAAGAAUUAAACCAAUAAUUAACACCGCUAACCACCAAAAUGGCUUAAUUACUAUUUCUAGAGAACAAUUGUCACAGUCUUUUAUCACCUUAGAAACAGCGAGCCGGAGAUCUUCAUGGCUGACCGGAGUCUCCGAGAUCACCCAAUCACCGGUCGGAAACCUCGCGAUCGGAGGCCGCCCCAAAUCCAUCACAACCUCAAUGAGCUUCCCGAUCUCCUCAUGCCUGUACAGCUCGCUCUUCAUCCUCUCCGGCAGCAGCUCCAGAAACAUCUCCAUCUCCGUCCGCGACGUGGACGCCGAGCUCCCGGAACUCGAAGACGGAGAGUUACCGGAGAAGAACCGAUCCGAGGGGCGGCGAAUCUCCGGCGCCGGCGAGGUGGAGGAGUGUCGGGACGAAGCGAUUGACUUGUGCGCGCCACGUGUCCGACGAAAUGAGGAGGAGAGUUUGGAGGUGUGGAGAUAGCAGAGGGUGGAGAUGGGGAUUUGGUUGGCCGAGUGCCAUGAGGUCUGGAGAUCGAGUAGCACCAAUUGCGAGCUCAGAGCUCUCAUUCUGUUACAGACUGGGAUUUUGCUUUGAUAAUUUUUUUUUUUUUUUUUUAAGCUAACGAUCGGCGAGAAGAUUCGGGGGUAUCUCCACUGGGAUUGGAGCAUAUUUUGGAGGGAAGAUGGGGCCCACUAACCAAAGAAGUUCAUACACGUGGGGGCUGCUUCAACAGCCACACAAUUUUCCUCACCCUCCUUUUCAUUUUCAGACAAAAUAGAAUUCUCGAAAAUUUGUAUUUCUCUGUUCCUUGGUGUAUACGAUUGUGAAAAAUACACACUACACUGAGUACACGUAUAGAUUAGUCUGAUUCUGCUGAAAUAUUUUCAUGAAUCUCGAUGUAAAUAAUUAAAUACUGACGUGGUGGCUGUGUUGAUCAAGGAUAUAAUUGAAGUAGCUUGAUAUCUAAUUUUAACCCAAGUAGCUGAUAUCUAAUUUUAAGAAGAAAGAAAACAAGGAUGAAAAAGAAAAAAAUUGUAUGAAAGGCUGGAUGGCAAAUCCCAACACGCUUCCAGUCCUAUAGGAAUGGUCCGAAUGUGAGUAGGAGGAAAUUUUGUACUUAGUUGACGUUGGAAACUAUCAACUUGAACCAAACUAAAUGAACAUAAUUUCAGCCGUGCAAGGUUGGGGCAGGUCACUGACAAAGACGGCACCGCUGUGGCUGCUGACUAUUUCGGAAACUCAUACUAUGGUGGAAGAUCAAAGAGAGAAAGAAAUGCUAAGCAGUUGGCAUCUACUAAGAUGGCAAGUUCUAGGAGCAAUGCAAGUCAAGGUGGGAGGUAUGGGGGGUUAUGCAACUGAUAAACGGUCAUUUAUUUAUGCACAUUAUACGGUUUACACUUCAUACUCGGUUAGAGUAUUGCUGCAAUAUAGGCUUGAGGCUCAGAAACUACGCUGUACAUUGAUAAGGAUGGAAGCUGCUGACUAAAUUUGGCGCAAUCUAUUCCCAACCCAUCAGUAUAUUUCUUACACCUUCCUCGAUUUUGUUCCUUGGCACCGAAGGACAGAAUCCUUCAUCUAGCAGGAAUCUGUAGACCUCCCACUCCCGAUCUCGGAUCAUGUGUCUCACUAUCUCAGCCUGAAACAAGUUGGUAAAGAACACAAUGAAUGGUAGAAGGACGAAUUAUGUUGGAUAUCAAACCAAGAUGUAGGAUAUCACUGGAAUAAGACACUUAUAGUGGUGGUUAGAGCUAAUACCGAGAAGAUGCGUGUGCUCAGAUCUUUGAGGGCAAGAGUAAUGUCAUAAAAGACAAGAGGCCGGCCCCUGCCGGACAACUCAACCGGGUUUGCUACCAACAGCUCGGUGUCAGGGCCGCGGUUCACCACAGCCACACGAAGCGGACACAAAAGCUCCGCUCUCAAGCGAGAACACAAGGCAUCUUGCUUCUUGCUGUCAACAAUCUUCUUGCCAUCUGGUUGCACUACAAACAAGUCCAGCUCACAAUUCCCUUUUGUGUUCUCAUAGAAUCGUCCAUAAGAAACCUGAUAUUAAACCCAUAUUUUAUAUACAAUGGUCAGUAUUAUUCACUAAUAUGGUAAAUCACAACAACAACAAAGAGGAGGACUAAAUUGAAUUUUAUCAGCCAAAAAAGGCUAGAAGCACUGGCAUGAUACAAACCUUUUGCUCGCCAGAACUCACUACUGAUUAUAAAUAUAUCAAUUAUACCAACUUUACUUUACAUACAUCUCUCUAGUAUGAUUUUACCUGAACUCCUUGACCCAUGUAAAGUUUAUUGAAGUUUUAUUAGGAGAUUGAGAGCAUACAUCAAGCAUUUAACGUCAAACUAAUUAGUUUCUGCAUACUAACAUCUAUAUUAACAACAAUGACAUGUUUGAUGUGAGAAGGUAAAAUUGUGAACAGACCCUAAAAUUUUAUUUCUCCCCAAAAUUACAUAGCUUAAAAAAGAUGUACCUGAAGGUUGCAAUCCUUUAGUGUUCUCAUGAUGUCAUACACUAGACCUUUAUGAUCUGGACAGAAUAUUUGAACUAGUGUGUGAGAUGGGCUGAGGUUAUUGUCCACUGUUAUCGAAAUGGGAAUGGAGGCAAAAGGUCUUUUUAGGUGGCCGUUGGUCCACUCCAAACUUAACAUUUCUUCAGUGAUUUCAGAAGGAAGAUAAUGAGAACCCUGUGAACAUGCAGUAACUUUUGACUCGGCCAAUUCAAUUUCACAACCCAAUAAGACAUUCCCCAAGACAGCUUUCAGGCAAUGAAUUGUUUCAUCUUGCCGUCUUUUUGUAUGCAGCAGUUCUCUGAUUGAGAAAGAGAAAGAAUAUGAUUAGCCAUAUCUUAGGAGGAAAGAUGAAACAAUCUCAGAACUGACCCUCAACUGAUGUGCCCUCACACAGACACGAUGAUACACUAACACCUAGACCGGUAUAUAAUAAUUGCAAAAACAAGUUUAAAGAACCUAACUGAAAAUAUUUUGCAAACAAAAAUUGAAGGAACCAUGUUGAGGAUCUGUUUCUCUUUUACUCUAGAAUGAAACUUGAGAAGUAGAUAUACCAAAAAAAGAAAGAAAAGGAAAGGCAGAAAUGAUGCACCAUAUAUAGAUAGGGAAAUAAUGUCAAGAGUGACAAACCUGGUAUCUGUAACAAAAAAAAGGUCCAUCACUUUCCCAUCUGGGGUAGUAGACACCUUCACUCUCUCUAUUGUGAGUUCAAGCUCACAAAGAACCUUAGUGACAUCUAUUCAGUAAAAAGAAUCAAUAAUAAUCCCAAACUAAAAAUAUAUAGAAGUAUAGAUGGCACUUUUUUCUCAGAUAUAGAUACAUCGAAACAAGUAGGGUAUACCAGGUAAAGGAAAUGAAAGAAAAGACACAGAUAGAACCAUCACUUCUACAUUGAAGUUGCCAAAUGGAUAUGCACCUCAUUAUUCAUUCAACAUGACCCCUAGUUUGAUUUCUUUUCUCUAAAUGGGGAUAAUACAAUUACUGUACUCAUCUAUGCAUAAAAAUAGAUCACAAUGUUAAAGCUUUAAAUAGGCCAGUCUGAAGAAUAGUUUAUGAGUAACCUCAAUCAAUUUCAUAAAUUACUAAAUUUGGUAAAUUUUAGUUUAUACAUUAUGAGGGAAAUAAAAACUACUGAUAAAGCUUACAUCCUCGUAUACUGUUAUACAUAGAAAUCAAUUAUUUUCAGUCAGUACUCAGAUAUAGUCUAUAGUCUAUAUGAAGAACCCAAAUUGUCAUCAUUAUAAAGAUCACCGACUCUCUCUCUCUCUCUAUCAUCAUAACAAAAGAAGUGAUCUUUUCCAGCUCAAACUGUUACUAGGAUAGUUGCAUUGAAGAUUGAGAAAGUGUGAUGAAUCAUUUAGCAAGAGCAAACAACCGAAACAUUACUGUUAGAACCCAAAUGACAAAAUUCUCUAAGUCUUGUUCAUCUAAGUAAAAGUAAGCUGUGAAGAAUCAAUUCAGAGUGAACAAGUAAUCAUGCAAUGACAAUCUUGGAAAUGAAAGUUUACCAUGCAAUAGGCCUUCCUGUUCAUAAGAGCACCAGAAUUUCAAAAGGAACACAUCUAGUGGCUUCGGCUGCUGAUUCUCCGGCCGAUAAUAGUAUAUCCCAGAAGUGGUAAAGUAUGAUGGACACACUUCUAACAAUCUCUUUGUCAGCAAAUUCCACCUAGUCUCCGGCUUUCCCACCACCCAAAACACUAUGUAGCACCAUUUUCCGUCGGUCGAAACAUCUUCAACACAAAAGCAACAAAAAAUGUUCACUUUCAUCAAAACAGUAUUGAAUUCUACUAAUUUUCCACUACAAAUUCUAUGAUCCAUCAAGAAUGCCUUACUUUCUGCUUUACAACAAAAGAUCCUAAACUGAAGACUCAUUCUUUGUGUCUCUCUAAAGCUCGGAUCGACCAAUUAGUGUUUCAGCAAACUUCAAUAAAAUUCAUUACAUGCAUUCUCAAGAAUUUCAGAUCCAAAUAGUAAAAAACUUUUCAAUGUUCAAAACAAACCACACCACUUUCCCAGCUCAAAAUAAAAAACCACCUCCAGAAAAACCUCAAAUUACUCAGAAAAACAAAGCAAUCAAACCAAAAGCUUAAGAAAACCUCACCUCCUCUGCAAAUGCUCAGCCCAAACAACAAUAUGACCCUGCACAGAUCACAGCCUAACCCAGUUUUGUCGGGGCAAUUCACAGUGACCACAGUGGGAUCUCCAGCCUUCUCUCCCUGGCUAAUCACUACCACGUCCUCAUGCAAAAUGCCCAUUCCCGCCAAGUUCCUCUGUUUUUUUUUUUUUUUUGUUCUCUGUUUUCCGGUGACCAGAAAACUGAGCAAAAAGAUACCCAAGUUGGGUCUGGUGGGUAUCUUCCGAUUCUUGCUCUUGUUUUUUAAUGAGCAAAAUUAGUGGGAGAUUCCAAAUAAUAGAGGAAGAGUUUGAGAUCAGAUAGAAUCAUCCAGAUAGAAGAUAACAGAUGAUGGUUCUGUUUACUUAUGGAAUAUCAAUUUCUCAUAUUUAUCGGUGGGAGAGACUGAGUGAGAGACAGAGAUUAAAGUCUUCGAGACGUGGUGAGUAGGUGGACUCGAGUAUAGUUGAGACUGAUUUUCAAAGACAACUUUUUCGGUGUUGGUUUCCGACCGUCCUUAAUUUUCUGCUAUUUCAUGAAAACUAACAAAUAGAGUUUGGUGAAGUUCAAGUGGACCGGAAUCGUCCUACUAUAGGGGAACACCAUUAAUCAAUUUUGUUUUACAUGAUUUUGUUAUAAAUGAAAAAGAAUUAUGAUUAAUGAUACAGUCAUGAUUUAUUAGUAUAAAAUCUUAAAAAGGAAAUGGCCAUUAAGAAAUUUUUGGUUUCUAUAAAAAAAUAUGUCGACGGCAAGUCCCCUCAUCAUAUGUGGAAAUUGCGAAAUCGGUAGGUUAUUUAUGAUAUACAUACAUGGAGGAAGAUGCUACCGGUUCGUUGGGAGGUGGCAGAGAUAGAGAUCUAGUUUCAAUUAGUGUUGAAUGCCCUUUAUUGUUUCGAGUCAAGGUAUGAUAUUAGACUUACUAGUAGGUCAACAUAUUUAUGAGUUGACUGAAUUAUAAGCUGAUUUCAUGUCUAGUUACUCAUGUUGCUCUUAUGUCAAUACGGCUCAUGAUUCAAAAGUUCAUUAUAAGUAACGUUGCGAGCCUCCGUUGAGAAGCAAAAGAACCUAAGAAAAUUUUGAAUUCAUCGGUAUUUUAGAUAAAAUCUCAACAGUUCAUUUCUGACUAAUUUGGUGCUAAUCUCUUAUAGGGCUGAAUUCAGACGUUGCAUAAUGUGAUAUGUUGAAGUUUACGUAAGAAACUCGUAUGAAUGACUAUAAUGAAAAAUGCACAAAGGAGUACCAUAGUUCCCCAAAUGUAGACCAACAUUACGAAAAGGAAGGAAAACCUUCACCGAACACAUUUGAGAAAAGCACCUCACGCACAACUUGAUCUAGAGUGAGAAAUUGAAAAAUGUUGAAAAAUUAUUCUUGAUUCUAAUAUGCCAUUCUAGAAGCUCCAAAAGCUAGUGAGGUCAUGUAUGAUAUAACUUCGCAUGUAAAAAAAUCAGCUUUUUAUUCAAAAAAUUUAGAUUUUAUAGUGUUUAGCAAAUUAAUGAAAAUCAGCUUUAAAAUAAAUAAAUUACAUGUUAUUGCAAACGCUUUAAGAAACAAUCAGAAUGUUACUUUUAGAAGCUAUUGUCAAUAAAAACACUAAAAAAUAUUACAUUUUGUAUCUGCAUCAUUUUUAGAACUACUAUUACUAAACACAAACCAUUUUAAUUCAUAACUAAUUAUUUUCGUAGUACAACAACUACAUUUUUUCUACUUCUUAAAGUCGCAAUAACAAACUAACCUUGAUUUGAGUUCAAAUUUCCUUAUUUUCACUCAUCCGGGACUUAAAACGUGAAAUAUAAAUUACGUUAUAUGACAUGACACCGAUCCGUAAACGAGUCGCAAGAAACUAUCUGCUACACAUGUCUUUUUUUACAACAAACGGUCAUAAUUCGUAUGACAACUAAAGUUGUAUUGUGCUAAACUAACCCAUAUCUUAGCAAUUCAUGUCUUGUUAUCACACAAUAUAAGAAUGCAAAAAGUCAUAAAGAAACUAGAAAGUUUUGAACAAUUCUUCUACUCCCAUACUAAGCACUUUAGAGUUGUUUCAAAAUGUUUCGAUAGAGCGCGUCCUAGUGACCGACCCUAGCAGACUUGGAGGAGUAUGUUGUGGGAGGACAUAUAUUACAAUAUUGAAGUUCUUCCUAGAGAUGGAGCUCCAAAGACCCAUCUUCGUACCAGCAUCAAGGUUGUGUGAAUCAUCGACAUGAUUAGAAAAAUCCUCCUUAGUUGGAGUGCGGAGAUCGCUCUUCUUGCAGCGGUACACCGACGAAUCAACACAAUCAUGAGAUAUCUUUUGACGAAAGCCUGCAGCUUCUCACUUGGGAGGUUAGUAAACGAAAGCUUACUCUUAUGAGCCAUCCUCUUCUUCUCUCUUAUUCAUCCACUGAGAUUCUCUCUUCUUAAAUAACAAAAUUAUCAUUGAAAUAUCGGCGAUUUAAUCUUUACACAACAUGAGAAUAUCUAAAUAUUGCAAUAUUUGCGCGAAACUCACGAAAUCUUGUUAAUAAAUCAGCCCAUUUCUCUUUAUUGAGAAAUCGAAGAAGCUAUCCAAAAGGUUUUGCCAAGCCUACUCGUAUAUAUGGUCAUUAACUCGGCCCAAACUUAUGAAAUUAACACUAAAGUCUUGGCGUAGCGUAGGUAACAUGAUUCGAACCCAGGUUGUCACAUGUUAUAUCUCACAUUCUCAACCAAUCCUCUUAAGUCUUAAGAUACACUUAAUAGUCUAUUAUAUAAACUCUACAUAUAUUUUCACACUUUUAAACUUUCCUUUCGAAAUUUUAUUAAUAUCACUAUCAAAAUAUCUAUUUUUCUGACAGUCGAAAUUUUCUCGAAACGCGAUAUUUUAGUCCUUAAUUUGAUGCCUAAGCUACUUCGCUCCUCCAAACUGGGCCGGUGUUGGAUCAAACAAACAGAAACUUGAAAGGAGGAGAACGAUACAAGUCAUACAACUACGUUGAUUUUAAACAGAAACUUGAAAAGAGAACGAUACAACUACGUUGGUUUCUAACCCAAUGGAUGCCUAUGUUUGGGCCAAUAUUCCAUUUUCCUUUUUAAUAAUUUUUUUUCUUUCUAGCAGCUAGACAGCUAGUUAACCAAUUGUGAAGCUACACAACUAGGACUUGCAGCGGAAAACGACUACCACGCGUUGCAUGGAGAGGUUAGGUCCUGCAUGCAACUCCGCCGCCCGUAAAUCUCCUACUGACAGCUCUACCCCUCGAUUUGCAGAUACCGAUGUAUAACCCGAGGACAAAACGGUAAUCGUUGAUACUCCGAGCCGGACAUAAAACCAUCCAAGAACAAAGAAGAGAACCACCACCGGAAAAAUGGCCGGACCACCUCUACCUCCACCUCUUCUAACGUGUUUGGUGGGUGUUGCAGUCUUAAUCUGCGCACUAACCCUCUGUGUUGCCCUAGAUGUCAGCCCCCAAGACCCAAUCAUCCACCAAGUCACAGACCAUGAUACUAAUAAGCUCCUUGGAACCGAAAAAGAGUUCAAGAUUUUCAUGGAGAAGUAUGGGAAGAAGUACCCUACUAUGAAGGAGUACAUGCACCGCCUCGGUGUUUUUGCCAAGAACAUGAUCAGAGCCGCCGAGCACCAAGCUCUGGAUCCGACGGCGGUUCACGGCGUCACGCCGUUCUCGGAUCUGGAGGAGGAGGAGUUCAAGAGGAUGUACACCGGCGUAAGAGGUGCGCCCGGCUUAACCAACGGCGGAGGCGGUGCGGGAAGCACGGUUGAGCUUCUGGAUGUUAGCGGGUUGCCUGAGAGUUUUGAUUGGAGAGAAAAAGGAGCUGUUACUGAGGUCAAGAUGCAGGUAGUUAAUGUUACAGUUUCUAAUUUUCGUUUUUUUAUUAUUGUUUUUUUAGGUUGGUACUACACAAUAUAUGUGAUUAACAGUUUCGGACCGUACUUAAAUCCUAGCUUAUUGCAAAUCAAGUUAUGGCAAAUACGAUAUAGAAUUCUCGUAGCUGGUUGUAAAUUACUAAAUUGUGUAAUCUGAAGUCGAUCAGCUGAUCAGGUGCUGCUGGUUCUUUUGUUUAAUUGAUUGUAUAACUAGCUUGUGUUUGAGAGUUUGAAGUUUUGUACAGAAAGAUUUGUCUAAUGGAGCUAGGGUGUUUGUGGAACACGGAAUUUUUCUUCAGGCAAGGCGUUGUAUUGUGAUACUUAAAGCCUCUAAAUCUCUUGUUAUGGAUGCAGGGUGGCUGUGGGUCAUGCUGGGCCUUUAGCACAACAGGAGCUAUUGAAGGAGCCAAUUUCAUUGCCACUGGGAAGCUUGUUAGUCUCAGUGAACAGCAGCUUGUUGACUGUGAUCACCAGGUAAUUAAGCCUAGCCUCUCUGGAAUAUAUUGAAGUACUCAUUUAACUUUAGGGCGAUAAAAAUUUAAUUGAUUGAGCAUAUAUAUAAUAUUUGGCAUGCCUACUUAAUUAGUUUCGUUUAAUGUUUGUGGCAACUAUAAUCAAGUGUGAUGCAAAAGAGAAAGAUGCAUGUGAUCGUGGUUGUGGUGGCGGACUUAUGACAAAUGCCUACAAGUAUCUAAUGGAAAGCAGGAGGGGUUGCAAAGACGAGGUUUCAUACCCUAUACGGGGGAAAAAAGGGGCGAAAUGCAAAUUUAAUCCCUGAAAAAAGUAGCCGUGAGAGUAACCAAUUUCACCACUAUUCCCCUUGAUGAGAAUCAGAUUGCAGCGAACUUGGUCCACAAUGGUCCUCUUGCCAGUGAGUACUAAACCUGAUAAUAUGCUUAAAAAUAGCUAGGCUUUUUAUGUAUCUAUGUGUGCGUACAUAGAACUGCCUUAAGUGUCUUAUUUUCUGAAUAUGAUGUGCACUGUUUAGCAUAUUUAGAUCUGAGUGUAGAUACACCCCACUGAUACAGAAUCUUAAUUGAUGUAUGUAUGCGCAGUUGGCUUGAAUGCUAUGUUCAUGCAAACCUACAUUGGCGGUGUGUCAUGCCCUCUUGUUUGUUUCAAGAAAUGGGUGAACCACGGUGUUUUACUUGUUGGAUAUGGUGAGAGUGGCUUCUCGAUUCUCAGGCUCAGCAACAAGCCGUAUUGGAUCAUCAAGAAUUCAUGGAGCGCAAAAUGGGGAGAACAUGGUUAUUACCGACUUUGCCGAGGCCAUGGCAUGUGUGGGAUGAAUACUAUGGUGUCUGCAGUUGUGACCAGUACUCGGGCAUCCUAGCUGCAUCUCCCGAGAUUAGCUAGUAUACAAUUAUACACUAUAAUAUAUAUAUGCACCUCUCCCUUGUUUUUUCUUAAUCCGAAUUUGAUGUUCCUAUAAUCAUAUUUCAAGAAUAUUAUUGUUAAUAUGCCGAAGUGGAAAGUCUUGUUUACGUCAAAACCAAUUCGAACCAUAUUAUGUUAGCUUUAAAUGCUAGAUUGUCAGACUUCAAAUUUAAGUCGGGAAAAUUUUACAAUGUGUUAAUGUAUGUCAUGUAUUAAUUUUAUCCUAAAAUUGUAAAAUGAGUCUCUAAAAUAGUAAUAUUAGUACUCGAAGUUGUAAUAUAUAUGAGUAGUUGUAAAUUUUAUAGUUACAACAUUAGUCAUCAUGUGUCCUUAAUGUGUCUUUAAAGUAAAUUUUAUAGUUACAACAUUAGUUAUCAUGUGUACUUAAAGUGAUAAAUUGCGUGCUUAAAGUCGUAAUUGAAUCCUUAAAGUGAUUAAAAAAAGUUUUUAUAUCUUUGAGGAUUUGUAUUACAACUUUGAGGACUCAAUUACCAUUUUAAGGACACAUGAGGAUUAAUGUUGUAACUAAUUUUUUUUACAACUUUAAAGACUUAUAUUACAACUUUGAGGACUAGUUAAUAUUACUCCCGUAAAGACUCGAUCAUUUUAUAACUUGAGGACAAAGUUGAUGCAUCACAUGCAUUAACACACCAAAGUUGAUUCUCCACAAGCUUGUUGAAGAACUUGGUAGAAGUUUUGAUUUGUUGAAAGGCUUGAAGACGAGGGUUGAUCAAGGGCCGUAGAGGGUUGACGUUGAUCGAGUUUGGGCCACGAGCAGUUCCAUAUGGUGGUUGCUCUUCGUCUUGUAGUUGGUGAAGAUGUCUGCUAUUUAGCAAUUUGGGACUCUUUGGGAUUUGGCAACUUCUAAGCUUGAGAUUGAUGAAGAAUCGGCUAUUUGGCAACUUGAUGAUUCUUCAACGGUUUUGGGAGAAUUCUGAGUUCUCGGGAGUAAUUUUUUUCUCUUGUCCGGAAGUCCUUAUCUUGAUAUGAGAGGGGGUAUUUAUGGUGUCGAUGCUCCUCCGUAAAUAGAAUGCAUUAAAGUCACAACUUUAAUUGUAUUUCCUUAAUGAUAUAAUUAAAUCAAUCACUUUUGAUUGAUUGAUUCAAUUAUUCAAUUUACUAUAAUUAAAUCAAUCAAUCUUAAUUGAUCGAUUUAAUUAUGACCGAUAAGGUAUUUCACCAAUUUGAUUAAAUUCCGACUUCCUUUUCGAUAAUCGAUUUGAUUUGAUUGAUGUUUGAUUAUCGAUUGACAUUUAAUAUUUGAUUUUAGUCGGGAUUGAUGAUUUUGUUGUCGACCGACCAUUAUCAAGCCGCCAUGUGUUAUUUCCGAAGACUUUUCAACUUUGCUGACUCACGAGCCACGUAUGUAAUUUGUCAGGCCCAUGGGUUGUAUGAAUAAUUUAAUAAUUAUUAUUCUCAUUAAAUUUUAUGCGUCUACAAAUACCCCCACUUUAAGGUGUGUUGUAGUCAUGUUGUUGUCACGUGUCAGAGGUGCGACUUGAAGUUAUUUUUGAUGACACUUGUGGCGUGUUUUGCCAUCCACUCGUUUUUACGUCUGAAAUAUUGGUCCGUACCAUGAUGACAUUUUUGUUGCCUUUGAAAUUUGUAUUUUGAACGCUUGAGAAUCAUGCAUUGCGACCUUUCCAUAUGUUUAGAAUACAUGAGCAAUUUGCAUGCUUAGUGGAUAUGAUCUUCAUUUGAACAACUUCCAUACGUGGCUUUAAAUUUACCCGUCUCGCAACUAUUUUCAAUUGGUAGGAUUUGAAUGAGAGAUGAAAGCUUUUCUUUUCUUUUCUUAUCGAUUGAUGCGUGGCUGACAUUUCCUUCAUUGGUAUAAAUAAUUACCACCUUCUAAAUGAGUUUGGUCUUCUACAAGUAAGAAAUCGUGUAAUGGCUUGAUGACUUCUUGACCAAAUAGAAAAGUGAACGCAUGAUGACAUUAUAAAAUUGUACUGUAGGGUUUUGCCCUAAUCACUGUAUUCUCUUCCGUAGCUAGCCGCCCGCCCGUACUUCUUGUAAUUCUUUCUUCCUUCUUCUUUUUCUUUUUCUUUUUAUUUUUUUAUUUUACUGUAGGCCUCAGUCGUGAGUGAAGUUUGGUACGAAAAUAGGUCCAACCUUGUACCGCGAACUUGACAACGAAAUUGUGGAGGCAGGAUCAAUGCGAUGGUGCCAUGCAAUUGCGUUGUCGUAAUCCUCUCUAUUGUUUGAUUAUUGAUUUUACUAUCGCAUGCCUCCAUGCUUACUGACCCAUCCUUAUGCAUAGUGUAGUCGAUAUAUUUUUUUUCAGUUGCGGCUGAAGGGUCAUCUUUUCGGCAAGCACAGUUGAAGAAAACCCACGAGGUACGCACAGUUGAAGAAAACCUUCGAGAGACCAGAGCCUUGAGGUACUACUUUUGUUUUAGUUGAUUUUCUUAAUCCUUUGGCUUGUCCAUAUGCUUUCCGGAAGGAAACAAAGAUUGUCAAGAGUGACAACCCUCGUUUUUCAUGGUGGGUGAGCUUACUCUUUAAUCAACUUUGAUUGUCAUCUCAUUAUGCAAAGCGGCAAUUUUUUUUCUUCGCCAAGUUCGGCAGCAGCAUGGUACUAACUCUUUUUUCUAUUUUUCUUUUCAGAAUUUUGAUGGCAAAUUGAAGAACGCGAACACCUAACCGCUUGGUUUCUUUUACGUCUUGGACGUGAGAUAAACCGUUGAAAGUGUUUAGGCUUUACGUACCCUGACAGUAAUUGAAGAACAAGAACACCUAACCGCUUGAUUUAUUCCACGUUUAAGAUGUGGGAUAAAUUGCUUAAAGUGUUUAGGUUUUGCGUAGACGUAUACUAUUCCGCAUGGUGUUCUCCAAGAGUUUCAAGAAGGACACAAACAUCAUCUUUGAAGAUAUCGAGGAUAUUGAAAGUGAUGGCACCACCUCUCAUCUAAGCUCGCUCAUCUCUAACAACUUCUCGCUCAUCCUUGAUUUAACUAAUAACUUUGAGAUCAUGGGUUCAAACCUCACAGACAUAUGUAAGGUGCGUGAGUUAUUUAAUAAAAGUUUUUUUUUUUUAAAGAGCUCGCUCAUCAUGAUUUCACCUCUGUGAGCUUCGAGAAAUUUUUAAAUGCUACGGGAGGACCAUGUGGCAGUCUAACGUGGUCCUACGAUCCAAUCAAAUUUAGACAUGUGGAUUUUUUACAACUAAAAUAUAAACAAAUAUUUUCUAUUUUUUGUGAAAUGACAUUCAUGGGUAUUUAGCAAGUUCAAAUUAGGGUCUAGGGUAUAGGGUUUAAAGUUUAGGGUUAGAGUUUAGGGUAUAGGGUUUAGGGUUUAGGGUUUAGGGUUUGGGGUUUAGGGUUUAGGGCUUAGGGUUUAGUAUUAAAAAAACAACAAAAAAUCUAAAAUGGUCUUUGACAAAAUAGCUGAAAUAAUUUUUCGUAAAGAAAAUCUACAUGUCUAAAUUUGAUUGGAAAGAAGGCCCACGUCAGACUGCCACGUGGUCCUCCCGUAGCACUGAAAAAUUUCUCAUGAGCUUCAUUGACGUUUCUUCAACGUGGUGGUUGAUUCAAUUAUUUAAUUUACCAUAAUUAAAUUAAUAAUUAAAUUCAGUUUAUCUCUUUAAACUUUAAGUCGAAAAUUAGUUUGAUCCCUGAUUUUUUUUUUUUAUUUCACGUCAGUCUAUAUACUUUCACAAUUACAUCACUGUAGUCUAAAAUUUGAAUUUGGCGCUGAACAUGACUCUGUUGAUGUAGACCCGACAACAUGGCCCCAUUUUUAAGAUAUUAAAUUUUAAUUUGAACAUAAUGUCCAAACUACCCUUAUCUUCUUUUUUAGGAGAACAAAAAAUUAAUGUUGGGUGGGCUGGGUUUGAAGCCUAGACCUUAUCUUUUUUUUUUUUAAUCACGUCUGACUCUGCUGAUGUAGACCCGACAGCAUGGCCUCACUUUUAAGAUAUUAAAUUUUAAUUUGAACAUAAUGUCCAAACUACCCUUAUCUUCUUUUUUUAGGAGAACAAAAAAUUAAUGUUGGGUGGGCAGAGUUCGAAGCCUAGAGCUUGCUGUCAAAUACUAUGCUCCAAACCACUGGAGUAACUAUUGCUCAUAUACCUUUUAGUACAUCUAUAUUUAUUAGUACGAAAAAAUGAAAGGAAAAUAAUAAAUAAUAAAACUAUUUGUGAUUGUGUUCCUACCAUUCACGCCCAGACCUUUACUCCAUGCCUUCACUGAAGGUCAUAAUCCCAGAAUUUUUUUUUCUUUCAGUUUGUUUAUCCUCCUCUUCUUUUUCUUCUUUUUCCUUCAAAUCAAACUAUCAAAGAAAUCACGCUGCAAAUUCCGACCGGGAGGAUGAAGGGUGAGACGGCUUCUUCGUCGUCGGGGAAGCUAAGGAGCUUAAGGAUUGUUUCUGACGAUUCUUGAGCUUGGCAGAAGAGGGGUUUGAUAGGAAAUUCGGCAUCGAUGCGAUGGCGGAACUUCUCUGCUUUUGAGGAGCUUUGUGGCUGGAUUGGUGGGGUGGGGGGGGGGGGGGGGGGGGGAUUUGGGGGUUUGGGGUUUUCAAUGAAUUGGCUUGGUGGUCGACGGCGAUUCGGAGGUUGAAAUUGAUGGGGUGGCAUCCUCGAGGCUGCGUUCGAGGCCGGGAUCAGAGGGGUGAGGCGGAGGGACUAGGUCGUGGUCGCCUAAAGUUUAUUUUAUUUUAUUUUUUUUCCCUAGUCUCUUUAUUUCAAAAUGUCUGUUUUGUCCUUCUUAUGGGUCAUCCUGUCUGGUCCACAUCAGCAGAUGAUGUCAUGUUCGGAGUCAAAUUCAAAAUUUUAGACCACAUUGAUAUAAUUGUGAAAGUACAAGAACUGACGUGAUAAAAAAAAAUCAAGACCAAACUGAUUUUCGAACAAAAAAUUUGAGGGAGUAAACUGAAUUUAAUCCUUAAAUCAAUCAGUCUUAAUUAAUCGAUUUAAUUAUGACCGAUAAAGUAUUUCACUAAUUUGAUUAAAUUCCGACUUCAUUUUUAAUAAUCGAUUUGAUUUGAUUGAUGUCUGAUUAUCGAUUAAUGUUUAAUAUUUGAUUUUAAUUAGGAUUGAUGAUUUUGUUGUCGACCGACCAUUCACACGCCGCCACGUGACAUUUUCGAAGACUUUUCAACUUUACUGACUCACGAGCCACGUAUGCAAUUUGUCAGACCCCUGAGUUGUAUGAAUAAUUUCCGAAGACUUUUCGAUAAUCGAUUUGAUUUGAUUGAUAUCUGAUUAUUGAUUGACAUUUAAUAUUUGAUUUUAGUCGGGAUUGAUGAUUUUAUUGUCGACCGACCAUUCACACGCCGUCACGUGUCAUUUCCGAAAACUUUUCAACUUUGCUGACUCACGAGCCACAUAUGCAAUUUUUCGGGCCCCUGGGUUGUAUGAAUAAUUUAAUUGCUUCAGUUCUAUAUAUACCGCGUCCCACAUGUUUCAUCAAGUGUCAGAUAAUACAGAACCUACUUCGCCAAAAUGAAGAAAAUUGAGGUCAGUAUAAAUUCCAAACACACCAUCAAACCAUCAUCUUCCUCUACACCACUACAGCCUUACAAGCUUACCCUCCUGGACCAGCUCACUCCUCCAACGUAUGUCCCUAUGGUAUUCUUCUACCCCAUUACUGACCAUGUCUUCAAUCUUCCUCAAACCCUAGCAGACUUAAGACAAGCCCUUUCCGAGACUCUCACUUUGUACUAUCCACUCUCUGGAAGGGUCAAAAACAACCUAUACAUCGAUGAUUUUGAAGAGGGUAUCCCAUACCUUGAGGCUCGAGUGAAUUGUGACAUGACUGAUUUUCUAAGGCUUCGGAAAAUCGAGUGCCUAAAUGAGUUUGUUCCAAUAAAAACAUUUAGUAUGGAAGCAAUAUCUGAUGAGCGUUACCCCUUGCUUGGAGUUCAAGUCAACAUUUUGGACUCUGGAAUAGCAAUCGGUGUCUUCAUCUCUCACAAGCUCAUCGAUGGAAGAACGGCAUACUGUUUUCUCAAGUCCUGGGGUGCUGUUUUUCGAGGGUGUCGUGAAGAUGUCAUACAUCCUAGUCUCUCUGAAGCAGCAUUGCUUUUCCCACCGAGAGAUGACUUGCCUGAAAAGUAUGCCGGUCAGAUGGAAGGGUUAUGGUUUGCCGGAAAGAAUGUUGCUACAAGGAGAUUUGUAUUUGGUGCGAAAGUCAUAUCUUCAAUUCAAGAUGAAGCGAAGAGCGAGUCCGUGCCCAAGCCAUCACGAGUUCAGGCCGUCACUGGUUUUCUCUGGAAACAUCUAAUCGCUGCUUCUCGGGCACUAACAUCAGGUAAAAUCAGUUUAUCAACAAGCCAAAUAAUAAAGCCUAAUGUAUUUGGGGUACUUAUUUAUAUAUUUUUAUUACGUAUAUCUAGUGUACUGUGUACAUAGCUCAAAGAAUGAGAAAAUAUAUGAACUUGCAGGUACUACUUCAACAAAACUUUCUAUAGCAGCCCAGGCAGUGAACAUAAGAUCACGGAUGAACAUGGAGACGGUGUUGGAUAAUGCCACUGGAAACUUGAUGUGGUGGGCACCGGCCAUACUACAGCCAAGUCAUACAACACCAGAGAUUAGUGAUCUUAAGCUGUGUGACUUGGUUAACUUGCUCAAUGGAUCUGUCAAACAAUGUAACGGUGAUUACUUUGAGACUUUCAAGGGUAAAGAGGGAUAUGGAAGAAUGUGUGAGUAUCUAGAUUUUCAGAGGACUAUGAGUUCUAUGGAACCAGCACCAGAGAUUUAUUUAUUCUCGAGCUGGACUAAUUUUUUCAAUGCACUUGAUUUUGGAUGGGGGAGGACAUCAUGGAUUGGAGUUACGGGAAAAAUUGAAUCUGCAUUUUGCAAUUCCACAAUGUUGGUUCCAACACAAUGCGAUAAUGGAAUUGAAGCAUGGGUGAAUCUAGAAGAAGAGAAAAUGGCUAUGCUAGAACAAGAUCCCCAGUUUCUAGCGGUAGCAUCUCCAAACCCCCCAAUUUCAAGGUGUUGAUUAAAAAAGAUUAUGUGGCUCGUGCAAUGUUUCGAUUUUGUAGUGAAUAAGGUUUAAAUUAGUUCACCAGCCAAUCAAUAAGAUGCAAGUAUGAUAGACUCUGUCUACGUAUGUUAUCCGAAUGUGUUUUCGAUAUGCUUGUAACCAAUAUAGCUCUUGUUUGUAAUAAUGCUCUGUUAAGCUUCUAUCUAUAAAGUUAUUUCUCUUGAUUAAAGAAAAAACUAUACAAGUUUUGUUAAGCUUUAUUCUAUUUUUAAGAUAGGAUGUAUGUAGUACCUAUAAAGAUGGUUCACCUAUUAUUAUUUUCAAAUACAUGAUUAUCCGGUACAAUUACGUAGAAUAUUUCUAUAGCUAAAAAAAUGUAAUUUUGAUCCGUGACAACAUGAUUAAAAAAUUACAUAUUCUGAUACAUUUGUUCUCUAACGACAAGCAUGGCCAUAAUGCCUCACCUGAUCAUCUAUGUGAUGGGGUAGUGUCCUUUCUUUUUAAGAGAAGGUAGGCACCUAAUGUGAAGGCCUCUACGAGAGACUAAUAUUGUCUGAUCUUCUUUUGUUCAUCAAAUUAAAGAAACGAAAAUGGCCACAAUGCCUCACUAUUGAUAGAAGAUAGAACCAUACAAUAAUUUGGAACAUAUGCAUGGAGACAAGGAAAUAUAACACAAUAAAACCAUUAUAAUUUCACUUUAUGUGGGAAACUUGGCCAAAACCGAAUCACAUCCACGUUGGCAACAAAAAGUGACUGGAAAAAAAGAGCCCCCAAAAAGCUAAAACACUAUAAAAACCAGAAAACUUGAAUAAGCGAAAAACCAAAAGUAUGACAUUUACACACACACUCUAUCUCUCUCUCAAAGUCUGAAAACUUGCGCAAUAAGGUACCUAGCUCUCUGGUCUUUUCUUUCUAAUGCAUAUAAGUCCCUGUAAAUUUUAUGGCUUUUGGAAUGAUGAUUUUAUGCUUGUGGAUCUCAGAUGGGUUUGUUUUGUUUUGGGAUUUUUAUAAAUGAAUCCAUUGAAAAUGUUGAAAGCUUAUGCCUUUGUUCCUUGGUUCACUGUUCUGGUUUUGUAAAUUGUGUGUACGAGAGUUGAAAUGUUGGUUUUGGUAAAGAGAAAUGUUCUAUAACCAUGUAAGUUAUCUUCUAAAGUUGUUCGAGUACUGCAUAGGAAAUAACGACCUAAACUGCUAGAUGCUCUGAGAAACUUAAUUAUCCGAUUCGUUGUGAUAAAUUAAUAGAACCAUCAAUAGCCGUGAUAGUCCCUUAAUAUUUGGUGGCUAAUUAGCAAUGCAUUCAUGGUAGUUGCAUGUGCUUAUUUUGUGCAGUAUUCUAAUUCUAUCACUUGCAAAAUCGUUGUGGAAGGUCAAGAGGAGAAAACUGAAAAUGGGGCAGCAUGCAUCUCAUUUUAUUUUUUUAUGCAAUAGAGCCCUAUAUAUAAAAUAAAUAAUGUAUCUAUAACCUUCUCUAAUUAAUUUACUUAGUAAUUGACGCAAUUUGGCCGAACUGUUUCUAAACACACUAAGCUUCAGUUCUAUAUAUACCACGUACCACAUGUAUGAAUUCAUCAAGUGUCUGAUAAUACUAAACCUACUUCGACAAAAUGGAGAAAAUUGAGGUCAGUAUAAUUUCCAAACACACCAUCAAACCAUCAGCUUCCACUCCACGACUUCAGCCUUACAAGCUUACCCUCCUGGACCAGCUCACUCCUGCAAUGUAUGUCCCCAUGGUAUUCUUCUACCCCAUUACUGAUCCUGUCUUCAAUCUUCCUCAAACCCUAGCUGACUUAAGACAAGCCCUUUCCGAGACUCUCACUUUGUACUAUCCACUCUCUGGAAGGGUAAAAAACAACCUAUACAUCGAUGAUUUUGAAGAGGGUGUCCCAUACCUUGAGGCUCGAGUGAAUUGUGACAUAACUGAUUUCCUAAUGCUUCGGAAAAUCGAGUGC